AAAGAGAGGAACGGAUGCCGCGAAAUCCUUUCUUAGUCAAAAUGCCAUAAUACGAUACAAUCCGGAUUAAAUCACAGAUCAUGUUUUGCACAAGUAUUUACAUACAAUCAUCUUUGAUACUUAAUCCCAUAAGUUUAGGAGUGUACUACUUGAACAGCAUGGCACUCGGGUGUUCAGAUUUAGAAAAGAUUAGCUUAUGCAGCCUCAGCAAAUCCAAUUUGCAUGUUCCCAUAGUCAAAUACUGUAUGGAACUGGCCCAUAAAUACAUCACCCAGGAUCCUGUUCAUCAAUGAAUACUAGUAUGAUUAUCAUAGCAUCAAAUGUUUUCCAGCCUAAAAGUAAACGUCUAGUGUGAAUAUAAGUUAAUUGUAGAAAACAUAAUUAUCCUUCAAUAUAUAUCUAUGAACCAGUAAAAAGAAUACCAGAGAGGUCCGCGAGGAGGUGGUACAUCCAGAGCAGUGAAUCCACUAAUGCAUUGAGCCCCAUCUCCCUCGCCCACUUUCAUGACAUACUGAUUCCCAACACCAGAAGGACAGAGGUCAGGAACAAAGAAAGAAUCACUAAAAACCAAGGGCAAAGGCAAGAAUUUUAAACUUGGGGGCCAAAACAAAAUUAUAACAUCUAUGGGGGUACCAACGGUAAAAAUUUUGCAUCAAUGAGCUUAAAUUAAAUUAUUAAUUUUUUGGAAGACCAAAAUUAUUAUUGUUCCAUUUAACCAAGAGGGACCAAGGCCUCUGCUUUCCCCUAGCUUCGCCCCUGCUGAACACUAACAUUGCAAUCAACUCGAGAUACUUAAUAGUUUAUUACUUAGACCCACCCAAAACAUAUAAAUAUUGAUAUCCAUGAUUUUUUUUUUCUUUUUUGAGGGUGAAAUGAUGACAACCAGGAUUAUCAUGAAUCAAAUCAAAGGAGACCAAAGUACCGUAACACAAAUUCAGCAUUGUAUAUCAUACCUGCUCAGGACGGAGCUCAAAUAACUUUCCAGCAAUUGUGAAAGAGACGCUGGGCAUAGAAGAUAGACUUUUACAGUCAAUACUUGAUUCUCCCAUUGGACUAGGCAGCCGAUCACAGAGCUGCAAUUAUCAAUUUGGGAAAACAUGAGUCCAAAAAAGAACUUGCCAAAAUAUGCUCAGAGGUUGUCAAAGGGGAUGCUUAUUCACCUCAUUGACAUAGUCAAUUAUAUGGUCCUGUGUCUGGUUCUGCUUAAGCUGGUUUUGCAUCCAUAUAACUGCCAUCUCACAGGUAGAACACAUAGCAUCGCGUAAACUGCCAGAGGCUUUUCCAGCAUUCUCAUUCACAAUGCUUUCAAUCCUCAUACUGAACAAGAUAAAUUUACAAAAUCAAUUAAGCAAGAGAACACAUUCAUUCAGACAAUUACAAAUAUUUCUAAGCUCCAUGAUUUGAGUUAAAGCAACUUCACUCUAGGGAAAAAAUCAGGGGGAAAACAGAAGAGACUUGUGUACAACCUUACACCUUGAGUUCCAUCAAAUAAGCAUAGACCAAUUUGUGAGCAGAUUUUCUUUGGUUCAUCCUGUCAAUGCAGAAUAAUAAAUAGAAUAACGAAGAAGUCCAGCAAGAAACUACCAGAUCAUACUCUAAAGUUAACCAUCUCCAGAUACCAUUUGCAUUACAAUUAAAGCAAGUUAAAACAGAUCAUGUACCUUCGCUAAUAGCAUAUCAAGUAUCUUCUCUCCGUAUUCAGAAACUACAGCCUUGCAUUCUUGACUUACAACCCCAGAUGCUCCAAUAGCAUGAUUGAUUUGAGUAAUAAUACCCUGAAAACAUGGUAUGAAAAACAAUCACUGACAAAAGACCAGGACUAACAGUCCAUUUUUGGCAGCAAAUAGACAAUGCAUGCACAGGAUCAAUUAAACGACUUCUAUUAGCACUUGCCAAUCACUUAUAAUCAUAGACAUCUAUAAUCAGAUUGUCCUACUACAUAUCAAGGUAAACAUGUACAAAAGCUCCUGAAUAUAUGCUCUCACUAUAGCAAUGACACUAGGGGGAUAAGCUGGAAUAUGCAUUUCAUAAGAUAGAAAACAACCUUAUAGAGGUUACACAGUGAAACUUGAAUGAGUAACAAACAAUAUCCAUAUCCGAAUUAGGAAGGAGCAAAUUGUUACUUCAGUCAUGAACAUCAGUACAAUUACAUCCAGAUAAUUGUUUAGUGUAAGGAUAGGAGUGCAACUAUAUGCUUAGAGUUGUUAGUCAAAGGACAGAUUUGCGUAUGGGCAGAAUGAUACGUCCAAUGUUUCCAUGAGAAACAAUCAUAGAAUGGACAAAACAUGGUUGAUACUUGACAGCAACUUGCUACAGAAGCACGGCUACAGAAGAAUGCAUACACACAUAAAUAGACACAAAUUAAUACAAACCGUAGGACCAGCCAACAAAGAAGUCCCUGAAUCAGCAAUAGCACUGCAGCCACCGGCACAAAAUCCUGUGAAGGAGUAAGAAUAUAAGGAAACAAAUAAAAGACUACAAAAUAUUUGCAUGUCCUUAUGAAUUAUAUUAAUCCAGUUAAGCAGAAUAUUGUGGAACAGGCUCGACAAUUAUUUCCAGAAGAUAACUUUGAGGACUUCUCACCUGUUGUUUCGUUACCAAUCAGGAAAUCACCCAUAUCAAACUGCGAGACAAAGAAACAGUAGCAUUAUAAAAGGAAUACAUGAAGUCAAAUAUAUUGUAUAAAACAAGGAAUGUUUGAAAUCCUAACCUGCCAGUAUCCUUUCCGUGUUACAGGAACAUAAGUGUGAUUCCCCUUGAAAUGUUUAGUAUCCAUCCCGCCAAAUACCAAUUCCCCACCAAGAUUAUCUUCGGAGUUGCGGCUAAGCCAAAAAUGAAAAAACCGGUUCCUUAACAAGACCUUGGUUGACCAUAUUGUACCUGGAGCACUUACAGAAUCAAAAUCCUAAACCAGUAGCAGUUGCAUUCUUAAUACUCACAAUAUAAACAUCUUACGCCAAUAAAACUGAAACAAAAAGCACAAAGAAACAAAAAAGAGGCUUUUACAUACCACACAGGCACAGCAUUUCCUACUGAAAUCUCUUGAAAUCCCAGACCAAGUAUACCAUCGAAUUUGGCAAGCAAGAAUGUUAAGCUGGGCUCACUUGUUGCCUCAAUAAAUUCCUAAACAGAUGAAAGAAGAAAAGUUACUGAGCAACAUGGACCAUCACCAACAGCCAUGAUGGUGAAUUACACUGCAAACAUAUAUAAUAAAAAAAUUAUUGAUGAUACCUGAUUUUUAACUACAAGAUCACCAACUGUUACGUGGUCCUCACUAAAGAAUCCAGAAAUUUGUCCAGUACCAUAUUUAAUAUCCGCAGGUUUACCUGCAAGUGGAAUCAUUUAAAAGAAAACAUAUAGGCAGCUACUUUAUUAUACUCACUUUGACUGAAAUGAACAACAGUUAGUUUUAAUAUCCUUCCGGUCACCUUUAUCCAAGUUUCUCCAAUCUAAAGCACAAUAGAACUGAUUAUGAAUAACAACAAGCAGACAUGAGUUUUUCAAAUGCAGGAGAUGAGGCGUAUAUAUAUAUAUAUAUAUAUAAAGCAGUUAAAAGAAUGCAUAAGGAAAAGAAUAAUAACACCUAAAUCAAACUACUGAAUUUGUUCUAAGCGGUACUUAUAGAUUGAUCUAAAGACAAUACCCAAUUUAUGAAUGGAAAAAGAAAAUCAUAAUCAUAAUCAAGAAGACAUGGAUUUCAGGAAACCUAGAAUGAACCAAGAAGCAGAAACAAACCAUUAGCAUUGUAGGUACUUGAGUGGCUUGAUUUAUAUCUUGAAUGGAAAUAGCAAGCUAUCUGCACCCAGACACCAGUAAAACCUUAAAAUAUUCCAAAUUUACACAAAUCCAACCCUUAAGUACACCAAGAAAAAUUUGAGGAAUUAAACUCACUGAGAAAUAACACUUAGAUGAAGGCACCCACAAAUUAGAACUCCCAGUGUCAAAAAUUACAGUGAAGUUCUGUGGAGGCGUGCCAAUACCAAUUUCACCAAAGUACUGAGCAUCCAUGUAGUUCUUUAGUGCCACUAUAUCAAUAUCCUUUGACUCCUGUAAGUUGCCAUGAAGAUACUUUCUAAAAGAACCUCUCAACGCUUCUCCUUCCUUGGAAUCAAGUUGGGCAGCUAACAGAUUGUUGCGAUCAAACUUUCUCUUCUUCAGUCCAAUUCUGAACAAUCCGUCAUUGGAUGUGGAAAAGACAAUAGGAAAAAGAAGACAAAGAAAAACAGUGACAACGGUAGUUUGAACUAUCGUCCCCAUUCAGAAAACUGCAAGUCUGCAAUUGAAAGGCAAUGAUUCAAAGAUUUUUGCCAGAUACAGUUAGAACUAGAAAUGGCAAGCUGAAAAAACAAGAUAUCAACACACAACUAGAUAUAGUCUUGUCUCAUAACAGGUAGGCAACAAGCCACUUUUCAACUACAUGGGAUAAAAACCAUUGACCGUUGACCUAAGUCUAGAACAUUUAUUCACUGCCAAGUAAAGUUCUGUCCUCAAAGAGUAAACAGAUGCUCAAUUUUAGUGACAUCAUGGCCAUUCCAUUCUUUUUUAUAAUCAAAUUUUCACAUCACAUAAUUUUGGUGCCGAGAAAACAAAAUAAACAUACAUAAACACAUCUAUAAAUACUACUAAGGUCAAAAUAAUUUGAUUCGAGCUAUGAGGAAUCUUAAUUAGGCUCAAAUGUUUACUCCAUCCAAAUUAGUUAAAAAUAAUGGAAAUCAAAACGGAUGCCAAUCGAAGUUAACUAGUUAACCUUCACUUUUCUCAGGUAAUAAACACCGAAAAUCCCUCAAUAUCUAACCAACCCAACAGGAAAAAAACUGAAAAAAUUAUUAGAAACUUAAACGGAUAAUCCGAACUUCAAAUGUUACACGGUCAACUCCAAACUACUAUCAAUCAAACUAGAUAUUCACUCAAUAACCCUUUUUUCAGGCAAUUUCAGUUUUCUACGAAUGUUACACGGUCAACUCCAAACUAUUAUCGAUCAAACUAGAUAUUCACUCAAUAACCCUUUUUUUCAAGCAAUUUCAGUUUUCUACGAUUCUAAAACCUAAAUGUCACACAAUAUUCCUGCCCAAGAAAUGCAAAAUCACUACAAAAAGAACACUCAAAAAUAAAUCAAAAGCAUAUAUAAGAACAAAUAAUAGAGAAAAGUAAAGAGAAAUUACAUAAUAAGCCAAGGUCAAGAAUUUUUACAAAAAAGAAAAGAAAUUUCUUACGUUUUUGUUUAUGAUUUCAAUUUUUAAGAACAGACUGAGCAGAAAAACUAGAGUCCGAACCUGAACUCUUUAUUCAGUGUUGAAUUAGAUUAGCGGGAUUCUUGGUGGAUCGUAUCCGUACACGUGGAGUCGUGUUAGGUGAGAAUUGAGAUGAUAUUUUUAAAUUUGUUGACCUUUUUUUCUUAUCGAGCAAGAAAAUUGAGGGUUUAAUCUGAAUCGGAUGAAUGUAUAAUAAGGAUGGUAUUGAGAGCUAAAUCAGACCGUUGAUCUUGUGAUGAGAGGUUUGGAAGAAGUGAGUUUAAGAUGAUAGAUCCAGUAACACUGGAAGUUUGAAGGGUAGUUUAAGAUGUUUCUUUGUCUAUUUUCUUCUACAUUUAAGCUGCGUAUCUUGUUUCUACUUUCUACACAACAAUCAUUCAAAAACCGGAUCCCACAUGUGUGCCAUGCCUAAUCAAUGGAUCAUAAUUUAUUACUUAUUUUUUAAAACAAAAAUGAUAAACAGUUCUUAGGUCAUAUUAAUUUAUUUCAGGAAUAAGAUCAUACAGUUCGGAAGAGACAAUAAAUAUUUGUCGUAAGUGGUGAAGGACAAACUCCAUCAACACAAUAUAUGUUUCAAUCUUAGUAUUAAUAGAACAUUAUGGCACGUUGGCAAUUGACUCUGUCACAACUCAAGUACGGCAUUUGUGGAGUGAUUGCAAACACUUAAUACGAUAAGAAAAUCAACUUUGGAUAAUGCAAAGCGGUGGGCAAAAAAUCGGCAAAAGAACCGAGCAUUAACCAAAUUGGAGGGGACAUCGACAAAGUCAUCCCUAAAAUCACUUGCAAAAGCAAGACUACAUGUAUAAGCAAAUGUCACAGGCCAUAGAUUAAAGGCUAUGACCAUUACGCACAAAAUGUCUCAUGGAGGUCAACUUAUUAAAUGGGGCUCAUUUGACCCACUUGAAUUUGCCCGACUUGUGGAACAUAUGGAUAAACUCAUCUACAUGAAAUCUUGGUGGCCCAAAAAAAUACUCCAGUAAAACUAAAAUUACUUAGGUAAUUAAUGUAAAUACUAAGUGACAAAUAUGUAUAGAGUUUAAAUCCCUUAGGACUCUCAUUUUGUCGAUAGGCACAAAUUGUAACCGUCGAUGUAACUCAAUCUAUAUUGUUGGAUUUGGGGGAGCUCAACUAUAAAUAGAGGCAUUCCCCCUUUAUUUUAUUCACUCAAUUGUAAAAUUUCAAAGUAAUAGAAUACUUUUAAGAGUAUUUACUCAAACAAUUGGUGUGUGUUAUUUUUCUGACUUUUCUAUUUGUUUUUUGCUCUUUCGUUUCGAGUUUGCUUCUGCUUUGCCACAUCAGUGAAAAUGCUACACAUUAAAAAAAUUAUACUAAUUUUAAAUAAAAUAGCCAUUGGAUUAAAUUUGAAAAAAUUAAGAAAAGUUUAAUAACUUUCUAAAACCUGAGAAUCCCAAGAUAAAAUUUGCAGUUCUUCUCAUCAUUUCCAUGGCAGAAUUUUUAGGUCACAAGAAUACACAGGAAUCUUGGGAAAGAAAAACUUUUCAAAAAAAUGUAUUUUGUUAGAAGCAUUUUUUUGAUUUGUGAGUCAUGUCUGAUAUUUUUCAACAAUUUGAAAAAAUGUUUCAUAUCUGGUGGUAGAGUUUUUUUUAUAAAAUGAAGAUUGAUAUGGAGAGGUUUUCACGAUUAAAUCUUGAGUAGAAGAUUUGUAUGUUGAGGAGAAGAUUGUUGAUGUUAAAAAUUUGAAGUUAGAAAAUCGAUCAAACAAACUAAAUUAGUUCAAGUAAAUAAAUUUGGUUUGGUUGUUUAAAUUUAGUUAAUGAGUAUUUGUUUUUUUUGUAUAAUGUUAUCGUUUUAUAUUUUUAUUAAACUUAUUAAACAUGUUUUUUUUUGGCGAAGAUGAGUAAAAGAAUUAGAGUCAUUAUUUAUUAUGAAGGUCAAAUUUGUGACAUCGAAAUUGGGGAUCAUUUUUGUACAAGCCCAAUCGACAUAUUUGAGUUUCAACGGAAUCAUUAAAAAAAUGAGCUUUUGCUAAAAAUUAAAAAGAAAGUAUUGGUUUCAAGCCAAAGGAGAAUUUCACGCUAGAAAUAUAGAUACCUAACCUAACGCCCAUGAACCCUAUAAGAUAUGAUACAUUUGAGCUCAAAAGUGAUGCGGAUGUCAAAUUAAUGCUUGAGGUGCAUUGUUAGACUGGAAACGAUGUGUAACACCCCAAAUUUUAGGGUUAAAAGUUUUGAGUUUUGUGGUUAAGGUCAGUGAGAAAGUUGCACUAUUGUGUUUAGUUAAGCGUUUAAGUGUCAGAAUGGGCCUGCUAGUCUGGUGGUUAGUUGUGUGUUAGUGAAUUUUUAGGUCACGUGUUUGAACCUCUGUGUGUGUGCAUUUUGGAGAAAUAUUUUUAUUUUGUUCAAUAGUAAUAUUGUUUUUAAGUUUAUUUUUAUUUUUGGGGUUACUGCUUGUUUUUACGUUCUCCUCUCCCUAUCCCCUUUUUUUUAUUUUCUUUUUGUUUUUCUCCAUUUUCUCUUUUUGGAUAACGGUUUUGCUCGAAUCAGGUGUUGAUUUCGAGACUUUUCAAUUACAUUUGUGAACUGUAAGUUUGAUUUUGGUAGAAUGCGACAAUCUAUGUGCCUUUUUGGAAAUUGGUUGUCGAUGUUCGGUAAUAUUGUUGAAUGGCAUGGAAAUUUGUAUAAGUUGGUGUGUUUCUGAAUCCCAUCGAUUAAGGGUCGGUUUAGUGGCCAGAAAACUCGAUUUUCAAGUUGUUUGUGGGUGGUUUCGUUAUCACACGGGUGGCCACACGGAAGGUCUACACGGACUUGUGCUGUUAGGAAUUAAGGUUCCAAGCAAAAUUUGGUGCCACACAACCGUGUGGCCGAUUUGGGGAUUUUAGUUAAUUUUCACACGGCCGUGUCCUUUGAGUACAUAGGCGUGUGUGAUUAGGAAUUAGUGAUUUAGUGAUUUGGUGCCACACGGCCGUGUCUGGUGGGCACACAGGCUUGUGAGACCCUCACACAGUCGUGUCUGCCCUGCACUCUAUUUUAGUACAAAUGGGCAGAGAGUUACACGAUCGGAUCACACGGCCAUGUCCCUAGGUCACACGGGUGUGUGCCUCCUUUUCACACGGGCGUGUGUCCCUCCACAUGGACUUGUUGACCCCCCACAUGGCCAUGUGGCCUGACAUCACUAAAUUUUGUUCUGUGCCACAUUUAAGCUUGAUUGUGAUUCUGUGUGUUCCGACUCCUAGCUAAGUCUUAGCAAUGGUAAUCGGGACUUUGAUUCUGCCUAGACUAGUGUGUUUUGUAUAGAUAAACCUCUAUUUUAAACAGAUUGUCUGAUUGUUACUUGAGGCUACUAUGUCAUUGAUUCUGAAUUCAGGUAAAUGAUUGUACGCAUUGGUGAUUCAAAGUGAUUGAUGUGUGAAUGUUUGUAUGUUCUGUGCAUUCUGUGACUGCAUGGGAAUUCUGUAAUUGAUUGACUGGAUGUGAGAUUCUGUGUCUGAAUGUCUGUCUGGAAAUUUGGUAUUUUGAUUAAGUACGUCUGUCUGCAUACAUACAUUUGCAUAAAACUUUUGGGGUUGGUUGUGAAGAGAAGGAAGACUAAUUCUGAUUUGAUCUGGCAGUUUAACUGCAACUUAUUUGUAUAGCGGUUUACCACACUGUAUCGUAUAUACGUCAGUUUUGCUGCGUAUUAUUAUCUAAUCUGGCAGUUUUACUGCAACUUAUUCGUACAUCAAUUUAUCGUACUGCACCACACGUACGUCAGCUCUGUUGCGUAUUAAUAUCUGAGUGGUUCAGUCCACAUGCAUGGUGUGUAGGGUUGGAUGGGCCUUUCAAGGUCCUAUAUGGUGUGUUUUGUUGGAUGAGCUUAAACAACUCUUUUGGGUUGUGAUCGGGGGAUGGAGAGGUGUUUUGGCUGGAUGGAUGAUUUUUUUUAUUAUCUGACUACAUUUAUACGCAUUUUUUUGAGUGUUUUGAGUGUAAGCUUAUUUGAUUGAAUAACACUUGUGACUGAGUGUCUGUGUGUGACUUGGUGUGCAUGAGUUGUUUCAUUCGGUUGGGACGUUGGUUUCAAGGUAACUUUCUGACUCUGUGUAAAUAAGUAAGUUUGUUUCGUUAUUUAACUGAGUUCCAUAAUUUCGUUCUUAAUCUUGUUUCGGACUCACACUGAGCUCGUGUAGCUCACCCACUUAGUGUUUCUCUUUCAGGUACAAUUCCGUUAUCUAUAGCUCGGACUCGGCAUACUGGAAGUCUCGGAAGCGUCACGUUUUUUUUAUUGGUUAAUAAAGUAUUCUUUUAAGUUUGAAUUUUAUGUAAACGGUUUUGGACUGAAAGUUUUGUUUUUAAUACUGUGGUAUGAAAUUUUGUACUUAAUGCAAGUAGACGUUAUCUGGUUUGAACAACUGUAUUUUUGUAAUAUCGGGAUUUUACAACUGAGAGUUUAAAGCAACUUAAAUACCAUUAUUUUCUAGCUGGUUAAACUAAUUUUUUUUCUCUCUUUCCUACGAUCACUUCGGUGAUCAAUGUGACCUCCGAAAUUCAGGCUAAACUCCUAAGCCAGGUUUUGGGGCGUUACACGAUGUAAUAGAGUUAUAUGUCCAAUUUGUCAAUGUAGAGAAAAGUGGUUUGAGUUCGACAACAGUUCCAAUUAAUUUGUUUCAAGAUCAAGAAGUAAAAGGUCCAACCACACGGUUGUGCAGUGGUUUCACAGUAUUGUUGCAAAGCUCGUAUCGGGGAAUAUCGGUAUCAUCAAUUGGAAGGCAUUCCUCGAUUUCAACAUUCGAUCGCAACUUUGGCGUACAGUUGAGGUUAGUUGGUAACUCAAACAUGGAGAUCUCGACACAACAUUCUAUGAGCGCCUUUGAUUUGAGCACCGAAACGCAAAUGUCCUAUGUUGGAAACUGAUAAAGAACUGGAGCAGAGGAAGCAAAAGAAUGAUUGAAUUCAAGUUGUUUGACUCAAGAAGGAAAGAUUUGGAUGUAACCUGAAAGGAAAAAACCAAAUAAAUUUAGAAAAUAACAAAGGAAAUAAGAAAAAUAAGAAAACUUAAAAAAAUAAAGGAUAAAUAUUCAAAAUAAUAACUAAAUAGUGAAAAUAUAUAUUAAAGUAAAAUAGAAGAUGGAACGAUAAAUCGAUGGACAUGAUGGAUAGAAGGAUAAAUGUCCAAUCGAACCUUUUGAGAUAUAAAUCCCAACAAACUCAAUUAAUCGCUCUAAUUAACCCUCUAAUAAAUAAUCCUAGGCAAAUUGAAGGGUGAAGAAUGAUUUUCCACGACUUCUUGAAUAAAAUUGAGAAGAAAACUACUCCUAAAAAUUACAAGAAAAAAAUCUUGCACAAUAAACAAACUCUCAGAAUAGAAAACUUUAUUAAUAAGAACAAUUGUUUGCUUAAUGAACAAUAAAGAAGCCUUUAUAUAGGCUAGCUAAGUACAUCCAAAUAAAACUCUAAAAGAAUACUGAAACUCUAAUUAAUUUAAAUAAGUAGUUCUAAACUAAACUUUCUUAUUGACAUAAAAUAACUAAAUAACUUAAAAUACUUAAUAAUUAUAAAAAAAUUAGAAUAAUAAAUAAUAAGAGUUAAUAGAUACAAUAUUGAGCUCAUAUAUAAUAAAAAUUAAGCCUAUAAUCCGAAUCCAAUAUGAUUUAAACUUGAAUUAAAAGCCUGAAACUCGUAAUUCUCGUCAUAUUCCCAUCCAGAAAUUUUACUCCUGCAAUUUUCACUAAAACAGUAAUAACUUGAGCUCCCGAACUCAAAAUCGAGUGAUUCAAAGUGCGUUUCCCAAGCCGUUUAAGUUUUUUGAUUGUUGGUUGCAGAGUAAAUGAUUUCUGAAGAUGGUUGCAGAUAAGUAAAUAGAUAUUGAUGUGCAAGGGAGGACAAAUAGUUUGAUGAAAUUGAUGAACUUUUUGAAGGUAUGGAAUAAAGAAUCAUUUAAUAACCUUGAUAAGAAUAUUACUUUUGUUGAGAACACUAUUAGAGAGUAUGAAAAUUUGGGUGAUAUCUAUGAUAUGACUGAGGUAGGAUUGGCCAAAAGAAAUGAAGCUAUUCAUAGAAAAUGGAGGUUAGGAAGGUACAAUGAGAUACUUUGGAAGCAAAAAUAUAGAGUUAGAACUAUUAAAGGAUGGAGUUGCAAUACAAGUUUUUUUUUCAUACAAAAGUAAAGUUUUAAGCUCGAAGAAAUUGAAUUAAUGGAUUGAUGAUAUAGGGGGAGUGGAUUUUUGAGUCUAGUUAAGAAGGAAAUUUGGCAACAUUUUAAGGUUCACUUUUCUGAUGUGUAGUGCCUUGGUUUGUAUUUAAAAAAUAGUUUUGCUCCAUCUGCUAUUUGAACCGAAACAAAUGGAAAGGUUAAAUGCAAAGUAACACAAUGAGUAAAGUAAAUAGAAAAUUAACACACGAUAUUUGUUAACAUAGAGCAGUUUGGACACAACGGUCCUACGUUUGCAUAGCUGUAACAACCUAUUUUUCAGUGCUGUCGGAAACGAUGGUAUCGGGGACACAAAUCCGAUGAGUAAGUCCAUAAUAAUUAGUAUUUAAAUUAUACGAUUCAACAAUAAUUUUAUAUUAAAUUUUGACUUGAUGAAUUUUAGCUAAUUGAAUAAAUUGUUAAGUAUAGGUGGUUGGCUUGAAAGUCAAGUGGUUACGAAAAAUGAGGUAUCUGGACCUCAUUUCUGUAAAUCGAGUUUGUAAGUUACUGUUUAGGUAUCUAAAGAUUUGGUUCAGAAAUUUCAUUGUUUAAUUGGUUAAUUAAUUAAAAGGGACUAAGUUGUACAAAUCAUAAAAUUUAAUCGCUAUUGAUUAAAAUUGGUUAAAUGAGCAUAGAAAUGGUUUUAAAGGGUUUUAUAUGAUAAUUUAACCAUAAUUAAAUUAUGGUGGACGGUACAUAGGUGGUUUUUAAGUAAAUUAUCAUUAAAUUAUGCAUAUGUGAUAAAAUAUGUUAAAUUAAAAAAAAGUAAUAAUAAUAAAAGAAACACAAAACAACAUCAUCUUCUUCAUUUUUAUUUUCUUCAUUGAAAAGUCAUGGAUAAAUAAGUUGGGAGGUUCGACCAUUGAUGUUCCUUUGCAUGUAAGUUUGUGUUGAGUCUGUUCCUCGUAAAUUUUAUGUUUUUGAGUUCAUUUUAACUUAAUUUAGCUAACUUGAGAAUUAAUUCGUAAAACUGUUAAAAGUUUAAGGACUUACCGUGAACGAUUUUUACGUUUUGUGAACCUUGUUGUUAAAUCCUUGAGGUUAAUAGCUAAAUAUAAAGAUUUUGUUAAGUGAUUUUUAGUAAUUUUAAUGUUUAAGGAUUAAAUCGUUAAAAUAGGAAAACUACAUGAAAUUUUAGUGAAAUUUUGAUAAAAGUGGGUUGAGUAGGGACUAGGUAAAAAUCAACUAGCAUGAGCUUUCUUUAAUUGUGGUUAAUUUGUGAGUUUCGAGUUUAGGGAUUAAAUUAUAAAAAAAUAUAAAAUAUUGGGGUAAUUGUGUAAAAUGAUAAUAAAAGGGCUUAUAUGCAUAAGUUGAAUUGUUUAAUUGUUUUAAACAGUUAAUUUAAUUAAAUUUAUUAUAUUUAUAUCAAGAAACGAAUCAAUCGGGCAGUAAUCAUGGAAAAUAAGGGUUAGCAAAGUAAAUAUCGUGUUGCGUUCAUAGCCAUUUUUGAUUAGGUAUGUUCGUAUGUUAAUAAAAGUAAUUAUUUGAUUGUUGUUUUGUAAUUUAAUGUUUAUCUUAUUCAUCAAAUUCUUUGGAUUGAAAAAUGAGAAAGACCAUAGUUGAAAGAUUCUAUGACAAUACAUCAGUAAUGAAUAAGACCAUAGUUGAAAGAUAUUAUAACAUCACUUCGGAAAUGUGCAAGUGUAGUUGGAAGAUACCACAACAUCCUCUAAACAAUGAAUUAUCCGGAAAGGUAGACAAAUUAAAUGAGUAUUAUAUUAAUGGUUUGAAGUUUAUUAUGCAAAUAGAAGGUUGGAUUGAGUUUUAAAUAUGUUUACUUGUAAUAUUUUAUGCCAUAAUAAAGUCAUUUGUUUCAUAAUUGCUCGUCCCUUAAUCGUGGUUUAUUGAGUAUAAAUGGAUAUAUGAGGUGGUUAUAUGAAAUUUAAUAUGUAAAUGGGAAAAGUUUUUAGAUGGAUCAUUGAAAUGGUAUGUGAUAUGUUAAAUGAACAUAUGAUGGAUGAAUUGAGGUUAUAUGCGUGUUUACUUAUAAAUGUUAUGUUUUGAUAAGAUUAUAUGGUUAUACUAGCGAAUUUACUAACCUUGUGAGACUUGUGAUGUGUAUAGGCAAUUAAAUGAACUCAUGACCUUGAUUAUAAUUUUUCGUUAUGAAAGAUUUAGGUUAAGUCAUUUAUGGUAAGUUAAAUUUUAUGUUCAAUACGAACCUACUAAGCUUUAUGCAAGCUUACCUCGUUUUGGUUUUUUCUUCUUUGUAGAUCGUCGGAUUUGAGCUAUCGAUUGGAUUAUUUUUGGAGAUCACAUUAUCCGUUCAACGAUUCAGUAUAAAUUGUGAUUAUUUUGAUUUAGGUUAUAAGUGGCAUGUUCUAGGAGCAUUUAAGUUCUUUUACUAUAAUGAUGUUAUUUAAACUUGGUUUAAGCAUAUUGUGUAUAUAUCUUUGGAUUUGGCUUGUAUAUGUCCAUAUAUGUAUGUCUUUAGUUGUUUGGUAUAAGAUUCUUGGAAGUGUUUGAAAUGUGGUAAAAUUGAAUGUGAAUGGAGAGGAUGAUUGUUUGUUUGGCAUGUGUAUAAGGGAAGGACUUGAGAUCCUUGAAUGUGAAUUAGUUUGGUGUAUGAAAUGUGGUGCUAAUGAAGAUAUAUUGGUUAGGCACUUAGGUUGGAUGUUUUGGUAUGUUUCAAGCAUGUUUUGAAUGUGUUUUGAAGGCAUGAAAAUAGUUGAUAUUGAUUUUACUUGGUACUUAAGAAAGGGUUGAAAAUUUGGCUUGCUUAUGAAGUUUUAGGCUGCACAAGGUUUGGGACAUAGGUUGUCACACGGUCGUGUGCCACACACGGUCUGUUCAUGCGGCCGUGUGGAUGUUAAUUUUUAGGUGUUGGAUUUGUUUCACACGGGCACAGUGAGUUAAAUGGCCUAGCGACACGGCCGUGUGACCCUGAGAGCACGAGCAUGUAGAGUAGCCACACGACCAUGUUUGGUGCCACAUGGGCUAGCCUUUGUCAUACAGCCGUGUGACCCCUGUUUCCAAAAUUUUACAUAUCUUUCACAUUUUUCUGUUUUAAUCUAAAUUAGUUUCUAAUUGUUUUCAAACUAUUUUUAAGGUCUUUUAAACUCAAUUUAAGGUCUAUAAGUGUAUGUUUGCUAUGUUUAACAAAUGAUUUGAUUGUUUAUAUUUAAAUUAAUAUUUGAGAAGUUUUAAGUUGUUAAAUGUUUCAUUAUUUGCUGUGAUACUUCGUAGCCCUAAUCCGGCAAUAGAGAUAGGUUAGGGGUGUUACAGUAGCCUUGUCUAGUGAAUAAUUUUAUUUAUAUCUACUAUUUAUAUUAUUAAAUUAAAUUUCACAUUUUGUACUAUUUAUAUUAUUGAAUUGUUUAAUCAUAUUGAAUUUUUAUAUAUUUUUGUUAAAAUUGAAUUAUUGAUGAUGUCAUAAAAUAUCCGUGUUAAAAUUUUAUGUUGGUAUCAAUUUUACAUUUUAUCUUUAAGAUAACUUUUAUUAAAAAAAUUACAUUUUUUAGAUUUAAUAUAUUUUUUAAUUUCAAAAUAUAUAGAGACAAGAAUCAGAAGAUAAUUGAUGAAGCAAAGAAGCUAAACCCGUAUAUAAAAUAUUAAUAAAUAAAUUAUGAGGGGAUGAAAGUUAAUAACAAAUUUGAUUACAGUGGGCAAAUUUGAUUAUGGUGGGUGACAGUGAUUAUAAGGACUCAAAAUCAUUUUUUAAUUUAACUCGAACAAAUAUAUUCGAUUCGAUUCGAUCUGAAUUCUAUCUCACUCGACUCAAUUCGAGAAAAUUUCAAAUCGAGUUAGGAUGAUAAAAUAGGAUUCGUCAACUCGAUUGACUCAAAAUUUUUUCAUUCAAUUCGAUUUGAUUCGGUUAAACACUCAACCCUAGUUACAAUCCUCCUAUUUAUGGGUUGGGUGGGGGCUAUGGGUAGUUCUAGGUAUUGUGUCAAAAAGAACAGAUAUGAUUAGAACCUAUAAUGAGAUUGUUCAAAAAAAUUAAUGAUAUUAGAAAUAAUCAUUUUUAUAAUAUUAGAAAUUAUCAUACCCACAACGUAGGUGAAAAUAUAAUAAUAUUUGAAGUAAUUAUUUAAAAUAUUUUACAUAUAAAAAUAAUGAUAUUUGAAAUAUUUUUACAUAUAAAAAUAAUAAUGAUAUUUGAAAUAAUUAUUUGAUUUUAUGAUAUUAGAAUAUACCAUACCCAAAAUGUAGGCAGAAUAAAACAAAUAUUUCACAUAUAAAAAUUAUAUUUACUAAAAAUAAUUAUAUUUAAAAAAUAAUUGAUUAUACAUAUUAGAAUUUAUCAUACUCACGAUGUAGGUGAAAUAUAAUGAUAUUUGAAAUAAUUAUUUGAUUUUAUAGUUAUUUGAAAAAAUAAUUCUGUUUCAAAGUUUUUGAAGCUUUUACAGAAGUUUUAUCAUUCACUCCUUUUUUUUUUGUUUUACUUUGUUUUUAUUUUUCUACUUUUAAAAAUUAUACGACAAUGCUUUACUUUUCUUUAAAAUUUUCAUUUAAAAUUACGUCACAUAAUAUUUAACAUGUCAUUUGACGGUUAAAUUAAGGAUUUUAAUAAUGAAAGGGCUUGAUUGAUAUAAAUCGAUAGUUUGGAGGUGCAAUUAGAAUGUUUUGAAGUUUAAGGACCAAGUUAGAAUAAGGGCGAUAGCUUGAGAAGGUCUAGUGAAAUUAACCCUUGAAAAAACUCUAGCCAAUAAGAUGAUGAGUAGAGGUGAAUAUGGGCCGGACAGAUCAAAUUUGGGCUAGACCUAGACAUGAUAUUAACACAAUUUAUGUUUGUCCAAGCCCAGCCCAACCCGAAAUAUGAGCUUAAAAUUUUGCUCAAACCUACUUAUAUUUUUAAAUAGUUAACCCAAGUUCAUUUUAAGACUGCCCAUAUUAUUUUUUUUAUUUUUUUGAAAAUUAUAUUUAUAUUAUUUUUUAAUUUAAUAUUUUUUAUUUAUUGAAAUUUUAUGUAGUCAUCUUAACAUUUUUUUAAUGUUUAAUUAUGGUCAUAUUAUAGAUUUAAUUUUUAUGUGUUAGAAAUUACAUAAUAUAUAAAAAUAACUUAAUAUAAAACAUGACAAAUUAAAAAUACAGAUCAGGUUGAGUUCAAGUCUUGAAUGUUUUAGUCCGAAUCUGAUUUAUAUUUUUAACGAGCCUAAUUUUUUAUCUAAACUAAUUUUUCGGAUUUAAUAUUUUUAUUUAAACUCUCAGUGGUAGGAACCAGGUCAAGUAACGAGUGGUUGGUUUUUUUAUUCUUCAACUCAAAUUAUACUUGCCAUCAAUGGAGAUAAUUUCUAUGUUUAAAUUCUUCCAUUUGAGUUCCCUUGCUGGACCAAGCCGUCCCCAGCUUUAAUAUUGUAUAGAGCUUAGUGGAUUUUUAAAGAGCCCAAGUUUACUAUCCGUACCAAUGUGCUUCAUACUGAGUCUGCAAGUUAUUCUGAUUCUACUAAUGGAAAGUAUAAUUCUUUAAUUGAGGCAGAAGGUGAAGUUUUGAAGCAGAUGCCAAUACGUAAACAUGUUAAACGUUUUUUCCCCCUAUAAAAUGGAUAUGAUUUUUUCUCAGGAACCAACCAACCAUUGUAUUAAUCUGUUGAAUACCCGUUGACUGAGAACAUGCAUCUCUUCUUGUCUCUGCUUCUUUUAUCUGAAAUGACUCUUCUUUUUGCGCUUGUCUUCAGUUCUUCUAAGCUAAGGGAACUGAUAACGAUGAUGUUAGACAAAAUAGUAGAAGGGAAAGGUGGUGCGAUUUCAUUGCCUGUUCUGGCAACUUUGACUGUUGUUUUCAUCUCCAUGGUAUACGAUGCGAAAGGGAUAUGGACAGAAGAUGUUGUUCUUAAUGCUGCCGAUGAGGUUCUAAUGGUGAAUCUAGUUCUAAAAGCAACCCUAAUGGGUAAUUUACAUUCCUCAACUUAGUUUAUAAGUUCCUGAAACUUCAGUUUUUAAUUAUACAUAUAUAUAGAGAGAGAGAUAGACAGAUAUCAAGCUUAGGAUUUGAUACUAAAAUAUUAUCUAUAUGUUUCAGGGUUUGCUUUAUACCUUGCACUGAUUACAUAUGGAUUCCACAAAUAUAUCAAAGGAUCCAGACCAUGGGAGGCAGCUAAAGAGAAGAAAUCUAUAUAAAGCUUCGUACACCCAAAUAUUGCAAUAACUGAAAUGUUAGGACAUGAAAGUAGGAAGAUUCCUCUUCAUGGCCUAAUCUUUUAUACCUUGUUUACUUCCAAAUAAAUGAAAUGUAGAGUACAAACAUCCACAAUAAGACAAGGUCAUAUGUUCUAAUAAAAUAAAUCUGCAUUUUAGAUUUCAGUAUCUCUCUUUUUGCCUUGCAAAGUAAAAUUAGAACAUCAUCCGAUAAGCUUAAGUUAUUAUUACUAUCAUCGUUUCAGUGUGGUCUAAUGAUCAUUUGCGCAUGAUUUAUUGUUAUGUUCUUUCGUAGCAGUGUUCUUAAUAACUAAUAUGGUUUUCAUACCUUUUGCAUUAGGUUAAUUUUUAUUGAGUAAAUUAUAAACUACUGGUUAAAAUAUGCCUAACUUUCUUAUACGUUUAAUAUUUUCGAUUUUAAUCUCCAUAUUUUUAUUUUCAAGAAUUUAAUCUCUUUACUUUUUAAAUUUAAAAACUCAAGUUUAAUAAUCAUCACCAUUGAAAUUCUUCUACUAAAUUGUGGGGGUAUACUUUGAAAUUAAAAAAAAAAUACUUACUUGAUAGCUAUGUGAUAAAAAAUAACAGUGUAAUAGGCCCAAAUUUAACGAUGCUAACAGUUCUUAAAAUCACGUAGGCAUGUUAAUUAGAAUAAAAUAUUUAAACCGACUAAUGAAAUUGUAAAAGUUAAAGUACUAAAUUAUGUCAAAAAUUAAAAUAUAAAGAUUAAAUUUUAAACUAAAUAAAAAAUUUGACCAUUGUUAUAUAAUUUUAAAGAAAAAAUAAAGAUGUGAAAUUUGAAAUUUAACCAUUAUUUUAUAAUAUCAAAAAAAAAAUGCUUAGAAGCCUUCCAAGUAGAGGUGUUCAUGGGCAGGGCCAGGCCCAUAAAAAAAUUUUGGCCCGGAUCCUAGGCCCGGCCCAAAAUAUGGGCCUAAGAUUUUGUCCAGUCCUGGCCCAGGAAAAAAAUCAUAAGCCCGGCCCGGCCCGGCCCGGCCCAUUUUUAUUUUAAAAAUUUUUAAAAAUUUAAAAAAGUAUUUUAAAAAUAUUUUAAAAUUAAAAAAAUAAAUAUAUUUAUUAUAUCGGGCCUCUGCCACAGCCAACCACUACUUGCAAAAACAAGAACAAACACGCAAAGAAAAUAGUGGCAAGAACAGUAGAAAAAUAGAAUAAUAAUAGUGUAAAAUCGGCUAUAAAAAGCCUAGAAAAAUCGAUUGUAAGGCUGGUUUUUUUUUAAAAAAUCGAAAUAAAUAAAAAAACAGGAAAAAAAUAAAAUACAGAAUACAGAAAAAAUUGACAUUUUUUUAUCUUUUAUAUCUAUUAUUUUUAUUUUUUAUUUUUAUAAAAACAUAAAAUAAAAAAGGAAAGGUAAGAAACUUACUGGUGUCGCACGGCGGAGAACGUCGAAAACUAAAAGGUUAUUUCCUCUUUCUAGAAGAUCGGCUUCGGUUCUGGUGGUUUUUACUCCAAAUCGGAGUCCUACGCUAUAAGGUGAGUGAGAGGGGUGUUUUGGUUUUUUUUUUUGGCCACUGUAGACGGUGAGCCGUCGCAGGCGACCGAUGGCUGGAUUCUAGGUUUGCUUCAGAGAGAAAGCAUAGAGGAGAAGACUUUUUUUAAAGGCAUGAAGGAAAUGAAAUUUUUCUGAAUUUUUUUGGUUUAUAUAGACUCUCAAAAUGGUGUCGUUUUGGGAGUGACCUCAGACGCCUAAAAUAGCGUCGUUUCAGGCCAACCCGAUGACCCGGUCCGGAUCCUAGGAUCCGAUUGUUUUAAAGUGAAGGGGAUAUUUGCGCUCCUGGUUCUUCAACCUUUUGGGUUGUUUUAAUUUGGUCUCAAUUUCAUUAUUCUUUCUUUUUAGAAAUUUUGGCCAUUCAAUUUUAUCCCGUUUUCAAUUAAGUCCUCGGUUCGUUAAUUCCUACACAUGAAAAUACAAUAGCAACUUGUUAAUUCCUACACAUGAAAAUUUUAAACAUACAAUAGCAACUUGUUAAUUCCUACACAUGAAAAUACACUUUCAACAUAUGAAAUUACAAAGCUACGUAAAGUAAAUAAAUAGCUUGAAAAGAUGACAGACAUUUAUUUAAAUUAUAAACAAUAAAGUAUAACGUUUAAAUUGUAGUUACCUUUUGUUUUCUUGCUAGAGAAAAUUUAAGAAAAGUGACCUGAAAAACAAAAUCUUGAACUGCUAAUAAAGUCUUUUUAGCUCUACAAAAAGCUGUCAUGUAUUUUUUUUAUUUUUUCAAAUAUAAUAUAAAAACAUGUUGGAUUUUCAAGUUAAAAAACUAUACUGACUGUAGAUACUAAUCCAUACAUACAUACGCACAUAUAUAUAUGAUGGGUAUCACUCACCUAAGCAUCGCUGCUGCGACUCGCUUGAGUGAUUCACAUGCCUUAAGGCUUAAGCAGGUCAGACUCUGAAUUCCGACAUGAAGGGGGCAUUUAUCGAGGGUUGAUCUUUUUGAAGCCACUACAAAAAUGGGUUCUUGUUUCAAGGCCUGUAAAAUGUAAAUGUUUUCAAUUAUCCAUACCCACUUUUCCAUGUUACCUGGACUCGAGAAUGUCAGUCACAUUUUGAUAUAUGUCUGAAUUAUAUAUUGCCUCACCUUUCUUAUUUUUCUUGAAAUAUCUAUAACUGAGACAUUUGAGUAGGAAUAUGGAAAUAUGACCCUCCAUAGAUCUUCCAAAUGUAUAAAAAAAAGUUGAACAUAUCCACGUUGGAAACAUACCCAUAUCCGCAACUCACAAUCGAGUCAGAGUAGCAUAGACUUGUAUUACUUGGAUGUUGAAUUUUUCCUAUGUGCUUAGGUCUUUGGAAAGUCAAGUCAUCUACAUAUCUAGAAAUGUGUCAGAUAAAGGUAUUUUAAAAAAAUGAAGAGUUAAAGCAACAAUGAUUUUUAAGUUGUAUAUAUAUUUAAAAAAUCAUAUCUGCAGACUCAUGUACGAAUAUCAAAUAUUUCAAGAAAAAUAAAGAUUCAGAAUAAUAUAACUCGGCACUACUAAUAAGAAGGAAACAUGAGAAUGGUGUACUUACACGAUCAGCAAUGUCUUCAAGGAGCUGGAGGUCACUUUUCACCGAACCAGUUGAUUUUUCAAGCACAAGGAAAACAAUUGGUGAUUCUGGAUUGCUUGCUAUUUAAAGCCCCCGGAUAUCGGAGAGUCCUGUGUUUUCACAACAAGUUCAGAACCGGAAGUGAUUAGAUCAAUUACACGAUAACCACCUAACAAAGGAUCGCACUACAAAGUACAACAACGUGCUUUUUGAUCCGAUGUUAGAAUAUUGCAGAGAUUAAUCAGAAAAAAUAUAAAUUCCUAUCACGAGUUCAGAACCGGAAAUGGUUUGGUCAAGUAUACAAUGAUCAUCAAAAAAUUAUCUGCAUUUUUAUCUACUAAAAAACAAGGGCUUGCACUAAAAGAUACACCGAUGUGCUUUGUUACAAGAUGUUAGCAUGUUACAGAGGUUAAUGACAUAUCGACUUCUAUUUAGAACCAGAAAAGGUUCUGUCAAUCAUAAACAUUGUCUUUUAUCUACUAUGGACUACUGACCAAUGUAACAGACAAGUUGAAGCCAGAGGACAAGAGCAUCAUCACAGAAACAAAGGAAAUCCUUAAAACCAUACAAGAAAGAAAAUAUUAAGCUCGAAACCAACCUUUUGCAUAAAAUGGCAAUGUUUUCCUUCAGCUUUGAUGUCAGGUCAGGAUUUUGCUCUAGGAUGUCAAUAGCCGUAAUUGCAGCACUAGCCAAAUAUGGUGGUAAAGAUGCGGAGAAGACGUAGCCAGAACUGCUCAACCGCUGCCACCAAUCAUAGAAUUACCAUUAGCAUUUUACAAGUGUAUUAGGAGUCUAUCCAGGGUGGUUGGUACCAUACAAACAUAAACAAAUAAAUAUAUAUAUAUGAAGAACAUUUGAAAAAUACUCGUAUAAAAGAUGGUAUGCCUAAACACAGCGAUAUACACGUACCAAUACCAGAACAGAAAAGGUAAAUCCACUGGUAUAGUCUUCACUAUUUUGAGUCUAUCUAUUAUAAAUAAUGUUUAUGACGAGUAAAACUAGGUAGAGCUUCCAAUAUUCAACACUAAAAGGUCCAUAGACUACAAACUUGAUGAUCUAUGACUCGAGCAUUUCCGGUGCAGAAUCCUCCUUCUGUUGCCAAUGCAUGUCCCAUGGCAGCAGUAACAAUGUCUAUCUUCUCUAUCUGCAGUACGUUCAACUGUUAGUGACCGACAAAACCAAAGCAACUAUAAAAUAGUAACUUAAACAAAUUAUAAACACACCGGAACCCCGCAGUAUCCAGUGAGACCCCUUCCAGUACGACCAAGUACACCAAAUGAGUUGGUCUCAUCCAAUAAGACACGGAAGCGAUACUUCUCUUUCGACUUGAUGAUCUUGUCCAAAGGAGCUAUUUGACCCGAAUUCUACAUAUUUAACCAACAAAAUGUUAGAUAUGGUGAAACUACAAUUAGGAAAAUCAGUAAGAACCAACCAAUACAAGGUAUCAUCAACUUUGAACCAUUGGACCUCACAGAUUUUUACUCAAAAGGACUCUCCUACAUUUUUUCCAAGUUUCCUCAUAUGUACCACUAUUUUACAAACACGCAGCCGGGUAAAACAAAUAGUAAACAAUUAACAAAUUUCCAUUAAGAAUGAGUCCCUAAGACCAAAGAAUGAUAUUUUCUUUUUGGUAAGUAUGUAAUUCUAGGCAAUUUCAUUAAGAAAAAAAAAUAUAUUCUAUUCGCAUCACUACUGAUUUAUUAUAGCACUCACUCAUCCUAUUUUGUUCUGAAUUUGAUGUAUUAACAAAAGAUGAGCAUGGUUUAAAUGAGAAUGUCGUAAUAGAUCAUAAUUAUGCAAGGAAGAAUAUGUCUGAAAUGAAUGUACAAAGUCCACUGCAUUGACAUGCAAUGCCACAAGCGUGUUGAUUUUAGAAACUUGCUCCAAACAAUUUCUUGUCAUACAAAUUUUAUAAGUAGUCUAUUGCAGACACCAUAGAAAGACCAUUUAUAAAUAGUCUAUUUCUGACACCAAACAAGUUCUUGUCAGACAAAUUUAUAGAUAGUCUAUUGCUCCGCAUUCUUUUCGACAACUUUCUUGGUCAACCUAACAAGAAACCUAGUAAUGCUUAUGGCUUAACUGCCACUCACCACCUUCAUGCAUAGCUUUUUGAAGGCGGCUGUAAAGGCUCUACUUGACAAAUAAUGGAGAAUUUGCUCCGUUUUAUCAAUGUCAAAGACAGUGAACAAGACAGUUAUGGCUCAUGAGCAGUAAUUCAAGGCAACAACUGUAUUUAUUAGCCAAAUCCUACAAACACGGCUAUUUAUGUACAACAUGGGCACGCUUAAGGAUACAAUCGUUGAAGGUUGUGAGAACUUGACAGAACAUACCUGAUACACAAAUUCAACCACAACGUAGCGCCGUAAUUUCUUAACCCGCUUAUUCUGUGCUGUAAUUUUCUCAAGAGUUCUUUCUAGAGAUUCCAUAUCAUUGUGCUUGAAAUAAACAAUGGUGCUUCUAGAAAGGUAGAGGCCAUUUUGUAUUCCCCAAUGGACUCCCUCAUCCCUGGAUAACCAAAAACAAAAAAAUAAAAAUAAAAAACAUGUAACUAAUAAACAAGAUACAAAUCUACGCCUUAAAUUUUCUAAAAUUGUAAUAUUAAAAGAAGAGGUACACAUUUAUGCUAAGGAAGGUGCAAUAAAACAAGACAACUCAAAAAGCAAUUUGGGCCCCUAAACACCCUUCAAAAUUCAGCAGCUCUAUUCUGUCAAAAUGCACACAAAGGACAAUAAACCCAAUCUUCAUAUGGUUUCCUCCAAGCCUACAAGAAUGCAUUCUACCUACGGUAAAUAAUUUUAUGAAUUUGCUUAACAAUUCUAAACCAUAUCACAUUAAUUAGUUUAGCUUUUAAAAUAUUGUAGAGGUGGGGCCUCACGUAUCAGAAGGCCCAUUACAACCUGUGAAUAACAUCUACUAGUAAGAUGAUCUAACAAUUCUAAACCAUGCAUCACAUUAAUAAGUUUAGUUUUUAAAAUAUUGUAGAGGUGGGGCCUCACGUAUCAGGAGGCCCAUUGCAGAAUAUAUUACAAUCUGGCCUGUGAAUAACAUCUACUAGUAAGAUGAUCUAACUGUUAAUUCGGUAAAAGAAAAAGCUCCACAAAAUAAAAAAAGUAGGGGGAAUCUAAUUUCCAUUCUUGGGAAUUUCAAGUGCAUCAUGCAAUAAAAAAAUAAGAACAAAAGACAAGGUAAAAACAAAAAAAAAAUUCAUAAGUUAUCUAUACCAUAGCUUACAAUGUCAAAUCCAAGAUAAUAGCCAUAUAUAUGUAUCCAUUUAAGGUAAUGACAUUUUUCACUUACACAACAAUUAUGUCGUCCUUUUUACAAAAACAUGAGAUUGUACUGAACAAGCUGGAAAGCCCAUAAGAAUAGAGGAUAGAAUCAUGUGUUCCUAAAAACUUUGUUAUUCUGAACUCACAAUCAAUGUGGACAUCUGAAUAAGAGAAGGUUGUCACAAUCUGAAUCUUGUUCUUAUAGAAGAUUUAGAAAGAGAGUCCAAAACACACCAUUCAAAAUUGUAUAGGUAUUGAUACUUACCAAUUGUGCCAUAGAAUCCACGAGGACCACAAGAACCAACACCAUAUUUCUCCAACACAAAAUUACAUGAUUCCUGGUAAACACAUUUUAUUUCAUAGCCAAAAGAAACAAAACCUUAAGAACUAGUCAUUAUAACUUACCCGAAAUUUUGAAAACAUAUGUUUCUCCUUUGCGAAACUACCUUUUAAUAUCACUUAACAGCCUACAUAAACAUCUUUUUGAUAAGGUAAAUGGAAGAAAAGUGUAUGUUUCGAGGAAUACUUAGAAAGGAUUAUAAUCAUGCUAUCUUGGUAUAUGGUUUAUUUAUUCUCUCUUCCUGUCGACCAAACGGUAGAAUAAAUUAAUAAUUGCAAUGAAAUCCUUACAAGUAACUUAUCAUGCCCCACAAAUUUGAGAUAAUUUGCAGAAGCAAAGUUCACAACUUCUUUCCCAUUGAUUAUAGUAUGGGGCCCUACAGCCCUGCAUAGAGAUGAACUAAUAAACUAUGCCAUUUCGAAAAAGAAUCUGCCUUGAGUAUUUAAACUACUAUAACAAAUCAUGAGUAUUUUCCAAAAUUCUAUAAAAUCUAUUGUAAAAGCAUACAUCGGUAAACAUAACCUAAAGAAUAACUAAUAAUUAUGAUUCCUAAUGAAAAGGAAAUUUGAGAAGAGAGUAUAAAAGGCUGAAAAAGGAAAUGUUACACAUUUUUUUGGAAGAAAAAAUAAAAUAAAUAUAUUUGGUUGAAAUGUGUAUCUCCCAAAUCUUCAAAGCAGAGCUAAGCAUAUUAAGUCGAACCAUAUAUUUUUUUCAAAAGUCCAAUAAAUUUCUUGCAAAACUGACAGUUAUACUCACCUUUCUAACACUGGGUGUUCACUCAACAUAUUUUGUGUGAUAGGAGGAUUAAGGGAUUCUAGGACCCAUUCAUCACAGAGCUCAUCUAUUUCCUACAAACAAUGAGGAGACCUUUUCGAAUGUUAGGCUAAUGCAACAUUAUCUACAUAAAAUGAAUAAUAUGUAAACAGUAAAACACUACAAGGAUGAAGAAAGCAUACCAAUAGUAGAACAACACAAAGUUAACAUCUGACACAAAUGCACCAUAUCUAACUUAACGUAAAAGUAAAAAAAAAACAUAUCAAUUGUUAAAACUUAAAACACAAGAAGGACUUGAUCCAACAUAAGUCAUCAAACACUAAAGAAGAAAGUUUCAAGCUCAAACAUAAAGCUCAAAGUGUAUAUGGCUACCCUUGUGACAAUCCUUGAUGACAUGUGUAUUCAAACUUGAAACUAUUUAUUUAAUAAAAUAGAAUUUAUGGAAGACUGAAAAGACAAUUUGAACAAGUAGAAAGGAUUAAACAUUGCAAUGUAUCUAUAUACAUGUUAAAGUAGGGGUGUUAUCGAGCCAAGCACAACUCGAAAUUCAAGGAUGGGAUUUUGGUUUAAAAUUGAUUUAGUUUUACUUCUAAAACUCAAGCUUGUUUCAAGAUAAAAAUCAAACUGCUCAAACUCACUUAAGUAGGCUUGAUUAAGCUUGUUUAUCUAGUAAAAAAAUAAGUGUGAUUCCCAAGAUCGGCUUCAAACUCAAUUAUAUAUGCUCAAGCUCGAGAUAAAAUAGAGAUUUGUCAGUGCCAAUUAAAAUAGAAAAAAUUGAUUAGGCUCGUUAGUUAUUCGAGUCAAGCAUUAGGAUACUCGAAUUCAAUUAGCUCAAUAACUUAAGCUUGAGCUUUACUCAACAAUGUCCAAGUCAAAUUUUAGUAGUUUACAAACCAUACCGAGCAACUUGCAAGUACAAGUGUCUCAUUUAGAUCCCUAUGUUAAAGUAGUAAAUAAUAGUUUUUUAUUGUUGAACUUUCGAGAUAUAUCUUUUAAUCAAAUGUGGUCGAGAAAUGAUUUUGGUUAGAAAAGGUGGCUAACAGUUCUAACAGGCAUAUUGGCCCAAAUCCUAGGUACAAAAUACUUAAUAGAUGUAACAACCUGAUUUUAGAGUUAGUCAGAAUAGUGGUUUUGGAACCACAAUCUGAGGUCAAAAUAAUUAUUUUAUUAUUUUAUUAAUGUUUACAAUAUGAUAGAAUGUUAGUGUGAAAAUUUCGUAAAGAAAUUUUACUGUUUGAGUGGUUAAUUUGAUAAAAAAGAUUAAAUCGUGUAAAGCGUAAAACUUGUGUUCUAUUAGCUAAAAGUGUCAAAUAGCUAUAGAACAUUAAAGUAAAGGUCCUUAUGUGAUAAUUAAUCCAAUUUUGAGUUAGUGGAUGAUAUUUGGUUUGGCAUUUGUGUAAAUUUGAUUAAUUUUAAAGGUUAAUUUAGUAAAAAGGUAAAUAAUGAUAAUAAAUAAAAUAAAACCAAAUUUCAUCUUUCUAUUCAUUAUCUUCCACCAAAAACGAGAAAGAUGAACAUCCAUGGAAGCUUUAAUAUUCGGCCAAGUUUUGUGCUUUAUUUGGUGAGUCGUUUUUGCUCGGUUUUUAAUAAUUUUUACGUUUUUGAGAUCGUUGCUUCGUAAUCUAGCUAGCCCGUACCUCCGAUUUCGAAACUAUUAAAGAUUUUGAUAGUUUCCAUUGUUGAAUACAUGUGUUAGUUGAUGUUAGAUGAUGACAAAUGAAAUUUUGAUGAUAGUUUUACAUGUUUGGUAAAGUGAUUUUGAGUAAAAAUGUCAAUUUUAGACUAAAUUGAGAAAAAUGAUAAAUCGUGUGGUAAAAGUGUGAAUAAAUGAAACAUGUGGGCUGAUAUGGAAAUAAUAAAAAUUCGGGUAGCUUGGUUUUGUGUUUAAUUUCAUGAAAUUGUGAUUUUAUGUGAUAAGGACUAAAUUGCAAAAAUGUGAAAGUAUAGGGGCAAAAGUGUAAAAUUUCCAUAAUGUGUAAAUUGUGUUAAAUUGAGUGAAUUAGUGAUUAAAUAAGUAAAUUUUGUUAUUAUAUAGAUUAAGAAAAACAAGAUUUAGACCUAAAAAUAAGAGAAAAACUACGUAUUAGAUUAGUUGACCUAAUUCGUUGUUUCAACGAACGAGGUAAGUUCGUAUGUUAAAUAAUGUUCUUAAAUCAUGUUCUAAAUGUUCAUUUAUCAUUGAAUUGAAUUGAAUGUUGAUUGGAUGAGUACGAUCAUGAAUUGACAAAGUUACGACGUCCGAAAGUCCCAUACGAACAUUAGGAAUAGCUUAGGAUACUGAGAUGUGAUUACGUGUAAGACCAUGUCUGGGACAUUGGCAUCGUUAUGUGAUUCAUGUAAAACCAUGUCUGGGAUAUUGGCAUCGAUAUGAGAUUCGUGUAAGACCAUGUCUAGGACUUUGGCAUCGAUAUGAGAUUCAUGUAAGACCAUAGCUGGCUAUUGGCAUCGAUAUAUGAUAGCAUGUAAGACCAAAUCUGGAAUAUGGCAUUGUGCGAGUUAUACGAGAUUUUUGAGUAUCCUUAGCGAUUCUGAAUGGUUCAACGGGCAAAGUCAAGACGAGAAUAAAAGUGUAAACGAAAUAAGUGGUACAGGUACUUAUGAGACUUAUACGUAUAUUGAAUGAAAGAAGAUUGAUAAAUAGAUGUGAGCUCGUGUAUAUUACAUGGGAAGGUUUGAGCUUAUGUAAGUGUUUGAUUUAUAUAAAUGCUUAUUGAGGGUAUUGAAUUUCACAUGAUGAGUAAGUGGAUAAUUAUGAGAAAUCCAUAUGGUUAUAUUGAUUAUAAAUAUUGAAUUGAAUGUGGGAUAUCUUAAAUUGCUUAUGCAUAUGUAAAUGUGAAUGAAUUGGUGAGAAUAUAUUAGAUCUAUAUGAACAUGGAAAUGAAUAAGCUUGUGAGACCUUUGGUUAGCUAUGGUAUGGAUUCAUGGUAUAACGGUGAAAGCAAAUGAAUAACAUUGUAAUUUGUAAAUACUUAAUAUGUGUUAUUUGAUAAGUUGAGUAUAUUAUCAUACGAGCUUACUAAGCUGUAUAGCUUACUUUGUUUUCUUUCCUAUGUUUAUAGUGUUUCGGUGACUUGCUCGGGUUGGAAGUCGUCGGAGAUUUCAUCACACUAUUCAGCUAUCAUUUUGGUAUUUCAAAAGCUUUGUGAUUUUGGUUAUGUGGCAUGUAUAGGCUAAUUGGUUUAUGAAGUGUAUAAGUGACCUUUGGCUAUUUAUGCAUAUGUGUUUGAUAUGUAUUUAGCCAUGAGAUUUGGCUUAAUAAUGAUGUAAAGUUUAAUGUGUAUAAGCUAUGUUCAUAUUAGUUUGGUAUGUAAAUUUCCUUGUGAAAUGGUAUAUCUUGGUAUGUUUGAUUAUGGUUCAAAUAGCUCAAUAGACAUUUGGUAAGUCACAUGUAUAUGUUUGGUUAUUUGUGGCUUGACCAUGAAUGCAAAUGUGGUGGCAAUGUGGCUAAAGAAAUGGUAUGUUUAAAUAUGAAUUAGAAAUGAUACUUUGGUAUGCCUUGGUUUGGUUUUAGAUUGAAUAAUUUGGUUGGAUAUUUAGUUUGAAUUUAAGGCAUGUGAUAAAUGCAAUUGAUAGUAAGUGGUGAAUGAUGAAUCAUGUGGAGUUGGAAUGCUUUGAGCUAGUUUAUGGACAUUUGAUGAGUAGUAAAGAAAUGGAUAUACAAUGGUAUGAAAUGUACAUGAAAUGGUCAUUUUUGGUUGCUUAUUAAAUGUGAAAUUGAUGCCAAAAUGAUGUGGUUUAGGUAUGCAUGUGAAAGGUGAGAAAUGUGGCUUAAACCAAGUCUAUUUUCAUGCCACAUGGUCUGAGCACACGGACGCGUGACUCGACCGUGUUACCUCUAUUACUUAGAAAAUUUUUACAAGUUUCAAAAUUUUUUAUAUGUGAUCAGUUUAGUCCCGAACCUUCUUUAAUGUAUGUUUAAGGUCUCGUAGACCUCUAAAAGGGACAAUAUGUGUAUGAUUGAAUGAUAUUGAUUAAUGUUGGAUUAUUUGAUUGAGAAAUGAAUGUUGAAUGUUGUGUUUCGAUCGGUAAUACCUCGUAACUCUAUUCCGGCGACGGACACGGGUUAGGGGUGUUAUAAUAGAAAUAUAGUAGUCAUAAAUUCCGAGAAUUAUGACCUGAGCCUACAUAAACUUGAAGCAAUAUCUAUCCAAAGAAACAUUAAUUUGAAGUAGAAUUGCAACAAAACCUUUUUUGUUAAUGGCCGCUUAGGAGGCUUGUAACUUUUCUGGAAAGUAGACAAAUAAUGACCACCAAAAGAAGAACUUCCACAAAUAAAUGCCCUGUAAUAUAAAAAUAAAAUAAAAGAUAAUGUAUACAUGUCAAGUAUGAAUGAGAGAAAAGAUUUAUGUUGCUUCGACUUUUUUUCUUGAAGCAUCCAUGUCUGACAUGUAUCUAGACAUGAGUAUUGGGAAAUGAUUCUCAAGGAUCCUCCAAAUACAUAGAACUCUAGGAACAGUUAACAUUCUCAUGUCCGACACUCAUCUGUUCUAAUACUCACACUGGAAUCCAACAUAGAAAAAUAUAGCAUGGUGUAAACAGGAGUAAAAGAGUGUACCGCCUAUGUGAACUCCAAACACCACAACUUGUGCAGGAGGGCAUCCAAAGCAAAAGUGUUCCAAUUUAAAGUGGCAUUAACUAAGUUUAAUGCAGCUAAUUUCAUUGUUGUUGAUAAGUUCACUACACAAAUAGAAAGGAUUAGAUGAUGAACUUUGUUUUCUUCUAAAGCAAUGAGAAAUCCAACAUUAAUUCAUUUAUUUGAAAUAAAUAAAUGACUAAAAUACAAAAAUUACUUCCAACAUAAUUUGAAAAAAGUAUCUAAGCUAAUCAGAAUGAACAAAAAGAAACCAAAUAGUUUACUAAUAUAAAUCAAAAAUAUUAAUCACACAGAAAUAGAAAAUGAUGCAAAAUAUUGAAGGAUUAAUCAACAAUACAACAAACUUAUAUAUUACAUGUUGAGAUACAAGAAACAAUUUGGUGUGUUGGAUGGACGAGUUGGGGAACUCAAUUUUGGUGUGUAACGGAGAUGGGUAGGACCGUUUUUAUAAAAUUUGCAUCAUUUUAUGAAAUGUGCAUUGACAUGAUCAUGCAUAGUAUAAGUGUGAAAUAUUGAGUUAUAUGAAAUUGAUAUGAUGAUUAUGAUUGUAUAAUGUAUAUGUUUAUACAUAUAUGGUUGUGUUUAUGUUAAUCUCACAUUAAGCUUUAUAGCUCACUCCCCUUUAGUUUUUUGAUUUUACAGAUAACCCCAAGGUUAGGAUUCGAUGACGACAUUUGGAGGAGUUUCUCGAAAUUUUUUUUAAAUUAAAGUAAUUAAACUUUAUUUUGAUAUUUUGAUAUUUUGGGUUUGUCAUAAGUUUGAGUAUGGACUGUGACAUGGGACUUUAUUUUGGGGAUGUUUCAUUCUAAUUUGCAUAAAUUGCUUGCAUGACAUUAAGUUUUAAAAAAAUGCAUAAAUUAGUAUUUGAUAAGAUUUUGCUUGAAACUCGGUUUUUAAAAUAGAAUCUGUCAAUAACAUAUUUUUUCGCUGCAUUUCUGAAAAAUGAGUUUUUAAUAAAAUUAGACUUAGCUUUCAAAAUUAUUAAUGUUUACAAAUGAGUUUUCUAAAGACAUUUGAUUUAUGAAGUUAAUAUAUUUUUUAUUUCCGAAAUAAUGACGAAUAACCAAGUUCUCCAAUUUUGAAUAAAAAGACAAAUGAAUUAGAAGUAUAAUUGAAAACUGAAAUAGUUUUAAAUAAAUGAUUGAAUGUUCACAAUUGAUAUAUUAUUUAUUUUGAUUCUUGAAAUUUGCACAGUUUUUAUGAAAUUAAAAUAAACGAUUUAUUUCAUUUGUUUUGAAUUGAUAAGCCAAUAGUUUUAAAAUAUUUUGUUAAUUCUGAAAGUUUAUUUCGACCAUUUUCAUGGACAAAUGGUUUUUGAAAUGAGAUUGAAAAUAUAGUUGAACAUUCGAUUUUACUAGUUUUGAACAAAUUGCGUAAUGGUUUAAAAAAAGUACGUUUGAAAUCAAGAAAAGUUUCUCUGGACCAUUCCGGUGGCCAAUAAAGCUUUCCAAAUUCAGCCAUAAUGACUAGGCCGAGUUUUGGGGUGUUACACCUAGGAAUUAGUUUUACUGGAGUGUUGCAUUGGGCCACCAGGGCUUCAAAUAAAUGGACUUCUCCAUAGGAUCUACAAAUCAAGCUAGCUCAAGUGUGUCAAAUGAGCCCUAUUUAAUCAAAUGACCUUUAUGGGACGCUCCGUAUGCAUUCUUCACGAGCUUUCAUCCGAUACUCGUGACGUUGUCCUCCACCCAUUCUUGUGACACCCUCGUCACGUCCUUAGAAUGACACUGGCUUGAAUGGUCUUGGAAUUGUCUCAAUGCCUUAGUCAAUUCCCAAUUAGUCUCUUUGUCAAGUUGUUCCACCCCUCGAAACAUUUGCCUCAGCUUAUGUCUCCACUAUCGCCUAACUCAGAUCGUUUCUCUCUUUUGUACAUUUUGUUCGUAAGAUCCCCACUACUCUUACUUGCUCCUAUCGUGACUUGACUCGAUUGGGAUCCCCUAAAUCUGCACAAAUAGGCUUAGGUGUUCUCACAUUGAACACUAGGUUAACCUUGAGUAUAGGCAUCAACUUUGGUUUGUAAGCCCCUCAACUUACUCACUUCAGAACUUUAAAAUGGCCCUUAUAUCUUUUCCAAGCCAGUGGUAAGCCAUAAUGUAGAACACUAGGAAAGUAUUUGAGAUGUACCUGACUCAUUGCAUUUACUCGUUUUGCCUGCCUAGUUUGCAUUCUCACUUUUCCUAAAAAGUUUGAUGCAAAACCUACAUCUCUCAUAGGUGGUAGCCUCACAGAUAACUCAACAGGCUUCAUAUUAGUUUGUCGCACCUCUAACAUUUCCAAUGGGGUCUCAUUAACACUUCAAUCUCCCAAGUCAAUGUUCUUACCACAAUGAACAUCCUCCGACAAUAACUAUGAAUGGAAUGAUUACAAAUAAAGGGGGAGGACUCUAUUUAUAGUUGAGCUUCCCCAGAUCCAAUGGUACAGAUUGAGUUACAUUAAUGACUGAGAUUAAUGCCUAUCUACAAUAUGAGAGUCCUAAGGGAUUUAAACUCUAUACAAUCUUAUCCCUUAAGAUUACAAAAUUUUUACUCUAGUAACUUUAGUUUUACUGGAGUGUUCCAUUGGGCUACUAGGGCUUCAAGUAGAUGAGUUUCUUUAUAUGUUCCACAAAUGAGUCAAUUCAAGUGGGACAAAUUAGCCUCAUUUAAUCAAUUGACCUCCAUGGGUUGCUCUAUGUGCAUUCGUCAUGGGCUUUGAUCUGUGGCUCGUGACACUAGGCUUAACAUUGCAUUAGCACAGAAAUGUUGGGAAGAUAACAAAGCAAUAUUGUAUUAGACAGUUGGGAAGUUGCAAAUAAAAUAAUGAUAUCUUUAAGGAACUAAAGUCACAUGCUUACAUAUGGAAGACUUAACAUUCUAGAAGUCAUCAGAUCUUCAAACUCAAAUUUUUGCUAGCUGUGUUGAUUCUCUGUAAUCAAUAUCAAGGUGUAUCUUAUGUUUCUUGGAGCAAUCAUAUGUUAGAGAAGUGUCAAACAAACAUUGGUGGGCCUUUAUUCUAUAGAAGUUGAAUUUGUAUAAUGUUUUGAAGCUACUUAAUAAGGUAUUUGAUUGAGAAGUUCAAUUACGUGCUUAGACUUAUUGAUUCCAUCUAUAGGCCCUUGCAGAUAUAUUAUGACAAUACAACACUUGUGUUCUUUACUAAGAAUAACAAAAAGUGGAAGUUAAAACAAACAAAUCAACAUUAAGUACUUGGCAAUCAAAUAUCACAUUAGGUUCAUGAAAUUGCUCAUUGAACACAUAAAUAACAAGCUAAUAAUAAUAGAUCCUCAGAUAGAAGGCACGCCGCUAAAGUCGUUGAAGGAUCAUGUGGUUGAAAUGGAUUAUUCUCAAACAAGUCACUAUAAAAUACUUUGUUCUUUAGUUUGUUUUCUUAUUCUAAUUUUAUACAUUUGGUUGAAAAAACAACCAUCAGGAUAGGACCUGGAGCAAACAUGGAAGGUUUAUUCAUAACGUGAUUUCCCACAUGUAUGAGUUUAUUGCAUAGUAAUACAUAAAAGGGAAUACUCAAUUAAAUGAGAACUUACUGCCAUGACUUGUGUAACUCUACUUUGCUACUUAAACAUAUGGUAUUUAAAACUAUCAUUGAGGACAAUAAUAUAAAAUUUAGAUUAAAUGGGAGAAUGCUGGAAUAUUUAUUAUUAAAUAAAUAUUUUACUCAUUAAUAGUCCUUAAUUUUAUAAUAAAUUAAAUAAUUUUAUUUCUUUUGAGUAAUUACUAUUAAAUAAUUACUUUUACUUGAUAAUUACUAUAAUUAAGUAAUAAUGUAUUUGAGAGGUUCCUCGGUUAUAGAGACGUGAUCAAAUUAGUUUCUCUAAAAUUGUUUAUAUAUUAUUUAAUCUUUAUACUAUUAAAAAGAAUUAAAUAACGCAAAAUUGAAAUAAAGUUAAUAUUUACUAUAUAAAAAAUGUCAUUUAUUUGUUCAUAGAGUUAUUAUUUUUUAAGUUUUUUUAUGAUUUUGUAAAUUAAAUAUUUUAUUUGGAAUUGAAUUGUAAUAGAACAAAAUAAAUUUCAAGAUAUUUUUCAUACAGUAAAUGCUAAUUAUGUUAGAAUUUAGAUUUAUUUUAUUCUUUUUAAUAGUAUAGGAGACUAAAUUAUUCCAUUUAAUAAUAAAUGGAUUAAUUUGGUCCUGUCCCUAUAUACAAGGACCUCCAAGUACUUUAACCUAAUUAAAAGUGAUUUUAAAUAUAGCCUACAAUGGGACUCACGGAGUCACAAAGGCUUUGCUUGAUGUGGAGGAAAGAAAAUUGAAAAGAUGGAAAAUUGGAAUGAUGGAAAACUAGAAGGAUGAAAAAUAUAAAUUUUCUUUUCAUAGGUGUGUAUGGUAGAAAAAAUGAAAAAAUAGAAAGAAAUUAAAUACCCCUUCAUUAAUUGGUGGAGUUGAAAAGUAAAAAGAAAUACACUUUUAUCUCAUUUUCUCUCUCUCAUCAUUCUAAUGAUUGAUGAAAAAUGAUCACCCCUACUAUUUUCUUUUCCAUCACUUUUCUUUCAAAUUAAGUACCCUCUAAUUUCACUUUUUCACUCAUUCUUUCGUUCCCUUCACUUUUUUUAGUUUCUUUGAUUCCAACCCAAGCUUAGUUCUAUAGAGCUUGGUAGAUUUCUAAAUAGCCCAAGUUGACUUCCGUCCCAUGUGCGCUAUACUCAUGUUUGAAUGUGCCAAAGAGUUGCAGUAACACAACUUAUGUUGCUUCAAAACUGAGGCUGCAAGUUAUUCUGUUUCUCCUUCUUAAUCUUUCCUACACUAAUGGUAAAGCACAAUUCUUUAAUUGAGUCACCAAGAUUUCCUGAUUUUUUAUUCCAUUUUCUUCACCAUAUAAAAUGUAAACUGAUGUUCUCUUUCUCACAAACCAUUGUAGUAAUUUGUUUAAUACUAGUUGAUUGAGAUCAUGUAUCUCUUGUCUAUGCUUGUUUUAGCUGAAACGGUCCUUGUAUUAGGGCUUAUCUUCAGUUCUCCUCUAAGGGAACUGGUGAUGAGGAUAUUAGACAUAAUAACAGUAGGGAAAGCCAAUCUGAUUUUAAAGACUGUUGCAGCAACUUUGCUUCUUGUUUUCACCUCAAUGUUAUACGAUGUGAUAGAGAUCAAAAAAUGUUGGUUGGAAGGCGCUGUUCCUAAUCCUGCCGAUGAGAUUCUAAUGGCGAAACAAGUUUUGAAAGCAUCCAUGUGUAAUUUCCUAACAUGUCUGAAACUUCAGGUUUUAACUAUAUAUAUGUUUUGAUCCUAAGAUAUUAUGUAUAUGUUUCAGGGUUUGCAUUAUUCCUUGCGUUGGCUACAUAUGGAUUGCACUACUGUAUCAAAGGGCUAGAAGGAUCGAGGACAUUGGAGGCUGCUGAAGAUAAUAAACAAUUGAUGUUAGAACCCCCAAAGAAUAAUGCAACAUCUUCAAAAUGAACAAUUGAUGUUUGAACUUUUAAAAAAAUAUGAAGAUUCCUCCUCUUCAUGUAAGGUGUAAUCAUGCAUAAGACAAGGUCAUAUGUUGACAAAAAAUAAGAAGAAAUAAGAACGUAAUUGUGUAAUGAUCAUUUGCUCAAAUUUGAACUACCUAAUUUGAUUUACUUGGUCUUAACAACUAAUGAGCUAACAAUUUAAAGAAAUGAAGACAUUGUAAAAGGCUAAUACCGAGUCUUGGGUCAACUGACUUGAAACAAAAGUUGGUAAACUGCAACAUAUUGGUAAACUCCAUUGUUGAAGAUUAAACACCUCCUUUUUUGGUUUCACAUGGGAAGCCUAAAGCUUUAACCAAAAACUGUGAUUAGUUGACUUUUCUCAUAGCUUGACUUUGUUAAAAGUCAGUGCCCCAUACAUUAAAAUAAUGGAGUCAACCCUCCCUUGCAGUCUCCCCCAAGCACCCACUCCGUCACUAGAAGGAACUGAUGCAACUAAUCAAAUAUCUAAGGGAAUAAAUGCAAGGUUUUUUAUUUUCUAUGUUUGCUUCGAUCCUUCAUUCUUUUUGAAGUAUUCGUUUCUCAACUCGUAUUUAUUUAAUGUACUUAAAUCCUUGUUUAUGCAGGUAAUUUGGCCUUCAACUUGCAAAGUAGAGCAGUAAUGAACUGAGUUAGCCAUAUGCACAAUUGGCUAUUGGAUUAAAGAAUAUGUUAAGAUUAAUUAAUGAUCAUUACCUAAACCCAUAAAUGUAAGGAGAAGCCAAAGUUGACUUCUUUUUUCUGAUCGGAUCUGCCUAACCCUUUAAGUCUCCUCUGCUCACACAAUGAAUAGUCAGUAGAUAAGUUAGUCAUCACCGGCGGCGGUGUUGGCAUGCUACCGACCGGUCGUCUCUGUCGGACGUUUUGAAACCAAGGAAAACAAUUGGAUAAACUAACAGCUACAAUAGGGAUUUGAUUCGAAUAUGAAAAAGAUGGGGUUGGAUCAUUGGAAUAAUAGAACAAGAAAUUUCAUUAACUGUCUCGAAAUUGAGAUUGUCUGAUACAAAAUAAUCAUCUGUUACACUGUUAAAUGCCAACAUACUGCUGAAAUAAAUAGUGUUUUCUGCAGAAUUGGCUGAGAAGAAAUCCUCAUCUAAGAUUGGGGUUUCAGUUUCAAGUUGUUCUUCAAAUGACUCCAUGAAUGACACAGUUGGAGAUGAAAAGUCGUCUUCUGUGAUAUUAUCGCUUCUUACUAUCAUCCAAUCUUCACUGAAUGUCCAAUUGGAAGCAUUGGAAGAAGGUGGUGACAGAAUUGAUUGAAGCAAUUUCUUGAUCCUAUCAGUGGGGGAAUUCAUGGAAAUCUCUUUAGGAAUCAAAUUCUUAGGACUUUCCACCACAUUAAAUGAAUCCCAGAAACUUUGAUCCAGCACAGUAUUUGGAGAAUCUGUUGAAAGCUGGACUGCAAUGCAACAUGGAGCCGGAAGCAUGCUACUAUCGAGACCAGCAGCUAUCGAGCUCAGCUCAUUUUGCUUGGUGUGCACGAAUGGUUUUCAGACCAAAUGAAGCAACUGAUAUUGCUGUUUUGUUUUGAUGUAACUUAGUUCAGUUUGAUUGUAACUAGCUUUAAUAGUUAGUUGGAUUAAGUUUGUGAUUGGAUUGAUGAUGUAAAAGCUGAUAUGUCAGCUUAUUUUGUAUUUGACUUAAGCUUGUAUUAGUUUAGUUUAAGUGGGAGUAGUUAUGUCAUUAGGUAUCUGUCAAAUGAACCAAAAUUUGUAGCUCUUUUAUAUAUUCAAAUCUUGAAUGAAAAAUGUAAUGUUCAGUUACAACUUUGCUGAGUAUUCAAUUUUGUUCAUUGCUUUGCUUUUUCUUUGCUUCGAUUCUUCUUGCUUCAGUCUUACAAAUACAGAUUUGUAACUUUGUUUGAUGUUUGCUGCUGCCAUUGUUCCAACAAAUGGUAUCAUGAGCCCGAGUCUUUGAGGGGCCUUUGUAUGCAAUCUGUUGUGUUCGAAUCAAAACCAACAGCAAGUUCAAAAUUUGGUAAGAUCGAAGCAUUUGGAUUCAGUCUAGCAGGAUGAGUUUCACUCCACCUCCUCCAUCUGUGUUCACUGGAGAAAAAUAUCACAUUUGGAUAGUCAAAAUGAAGACUUACCUCCAGGCACAUGAUCUCUGGAGUGUGAUCGAGAAUGAUGCUGAACCACCUCUAUUGAGAGCCAAUCCCACCAUUGCACAGAUGAGGCAGCAUGCUGAUGAGUGAGCCAAGAAGCAUAAGGCUAUGGCCUGCUUGCAAAAUGGAGUCUCUGAUGUGAUAUUCACUCGUAUCAUGGCCUGUGACUCACCAAAACAGGCCUGGGAGAAGCUGAUGGAGGAGUUCAUGGGGACUGACAAGACAAGGCAACAGCAGGUGAUCAACCUCAAGAGAGACUUUGAAAAUUUGAGGAUGAAGGAGUCUGAGACCAUCAAGCAGUACUCAGAUAGGAUAAUGGCCAUUGUCAACAGCAUUAGGCUCUUGAGAGUGGACUUCACAGAGAGCAGAGUUGUUGAAAAGGUUAUUACAACUCUCUCUGAGAAAUUUGAGUCUAAAAUCUCUUCACUUGAGGACUUGAGGGACUUAUCAGCCAUUUCAUUGUCUGAGCUAAUAAACUCCCUGUAUGCACUUGAGCAAAGGAGGGCAAAUAGGCAGGAGGAGAAUCCUGAAGCUGCUUUCCAGGCUAAAGCCAGUGAAGGCUCGAGUGUGACUGCAAAAGGCAAGAAGCCUUGGCACAAUAGAAGGGUCAAGUCAGGAAGAGAUGAAGCAAAAAGGGUGUUCCCACCAUGUGUUCAUUGCAAGAAGACAACACAUUCAGAAAAGUAUUGCUGGUUUAGGCCAGAUAUUCAGUGUAGAAAAUGCAAGCAGUUUGGCCAUGUGGAGAAGGUGUGCAAGGGCAAACCAAGGGAGGCUGCUCUGCAACAAGCUAGACCUGCUGAGGACAUUCAAGCUCAGGAGGAGCAAGUGUUCACAGCAACUUGUUUUGUUGGCACAACCAAGGCCAGCAAUGAUUGGCUACUAGACAGUGGCUGCUCACACCAUAUGGCAGCAGAUGAGAAGCUGUUCAAGGGCCUAGACAGAAGCUUCCACUCGAGGAUUAGAAUUGGAGAUGGUAGGCUGAUUGAGGCUAAAGGCAAGGGCAGUGUGUUGAUUAUCACUGGUUCAGGUAACAAGCUGAUCUCAGAUGUGUUUUUUGUACCUAACUUAGACCAGAAUUUGCUUAGUGUAGGCCAAUUAGUUGAAAAGGGCUAUACAUUGGUUUUUAAGGAUGGUUGUUGUAUUGUUCAAGACAUGAAUGGUCUGGAGUUAGUCACAGUCUCUAUGACUGAUAGGUGCUUCAUGCUGGAUGUUAGCCAAAUAGAAAGAAAGGCAUACACCAGCCUUGUUGAAAGCACUGACUUGUGGCAUAAGAGACUAGGCCAUGCAAAUUUUAGAUCCAUCGAUCUGUUACAUAGGCUGAAUUUGGUUGAUGACAUUUCAAAAAUUGAAGUUAGUGGGAAUGUUUGUGAGGUUUGUCAGCUUGGCAAGCAGGCUAGACUGUCUUUUCCUGCUGACAGUGCUUGGAGAGCUCAAAACAAGCUCGAAUUGGUGCACUCUGAUGUUUGUGGCCCUAUGAGAACACCUUCAAUCAGUGAGAACUAGGUACUUUACCCUGUUUAUAGAUGAUUUAACAAGGUUGUGCUGGGUCUACUUCUUGAAGCAAAAGUCAGAAGUGUUUGAAGCCUUCUGCAAAUUCAAGGUUUAUGCUGAAAAUCAGUCAGGCUGCAAAAUUAGAGCCUUGAGGACUGAUAAUGGCUCUGAAUAUGUGUCUGAGAGAUUUCAGAAGCUUUGUGACAGUGCUGGGAUUCACCAUCAGCUCACAACAGUCUAUACUCCUCAACAGAAUGGAGUCUGUGAGAGAAAGAAUAGGACUGUACUGAACAUGGCCAGGUGCCUCUUGUUUCAAGGCAAGCUUCCAAGUCAGUUUUGGGCUGAGGCAGUCAACACCUCAGUGUAUCUGCUCAACAGACUGCCAACUAGAGCAGUCAAGGAUAAGACUCCUUUUGAGGCUUGGCAUAGAGUCAAACCUGUGGUAACACACUUGAAAGUGUUUGGCUGUGUAUGUUAUGCUUUUAUUCCAGUGGAAAAGAGGACCAAGCUCGAGAGCAGGGCUACUCCAGGAAUCUUUGUUGGCUACAGCAGCAACAAGAAGGGCUAUAGAGUGUAUGAUCCUACAGCAAAGAAGGUUUUAGUCAGCAGGGAUGUAAAGUUUGAUGAGGAAAAGGUGUGGAAUUGGAAUGGUGUUGAAGUUGACUUGUCUGAAUUGGACCAGUUAGACUUGGUUGCUGAACCUGCAGAAGAAGGACCAAGUAAUGAUGCUGUUGAUGAUACACCAGUGAGGGGCACCAGAACUUUGGCUGAUGUCUAUCAGAGGUGCAAUGUUGCUGUGAUUGAGCCCUCAGACUUUGAAGAGGCUGCUAAGAACAGAAGCUGGAUGAAAGCUAUGGAAGCUGAGUUGGAAAUGAUCAACAAAAAUCAGACUUGGGAGUUGGUGAGCAGACCAGAACACAAGAGGGUCAUAGGAGUUAAAUGGGUGUACCGGGCCAAGUACAAUGUUGAUGGCUCACUAAACAAGCACAAGGCCAGGCUUGUGGUGAAGGGCUACAGUCAGCAGUAUGGUGUUGACUACCUAGAAACUUUUGCUCCAGUGGCAAGACUGGAUACAAUUAAGUUGCUGUUUGCUUUAGCAGCUCAGAAGUAGUGGAGAGUUCACCAAUUGGAUGUCAAAUCAGCAUUCCUGAAUGGUUUUCUCAAGGAAGAGAUCUUCAUCGAGCAACCUGAAGGUUUUGAAGUUGUUGGACAUGAAGACAAAGUGUAUAAGUUGAGAAAGGCCCUCUAUGGCCUGAAACAGGCACCAAGGGCCUGGUAUGACAGAGUUGAUGCUUACCUGACCAAACUUAGAUUUGUAAAGAGCCUUAGUGAGCCUACUCUGUAUGUUAAAAGGUCAGAACAUGAAACCUUACUGAUUGUCUCCUUGUAUGUGGAUGAUUUACUUGUAACAGGGAGCAAAAUUGAGCUCAUUGAUGAGUUCAAAGUCCAAAUGCAGCAAGUGUUUGAAAUGACAGAUUUGGGGAUCAUGACUUACUUCCUUGGCAUGGAAGUUCACCAGUCUGAUCGAGGUAUCUUCAUCAGCCAACACUCAUUUGCUUUGAAGAUCCUAGACAAAUUCUGCAUGCAUAACUGUAAAGCAGUCAGCACACCUGUGGCCCAAGGAGAAAAGCUGACUAGCAGUGGUGAUCAGCAGAGGGUUGAUGAGAGGCACUAUCGAAGCCUAGUUGGUUGUCUGUUGUAUCUAACAGCAACCAGGCCAGACAUCAUAUUUGGUGUCAGCCUGUUAUCGAGAUUUAUGCAUUGUUGCAAUGAGGCACAUUUGAAGGCAGCAAAGAGGGUCCUUAGAUACAUCAAGGGCACUGCUAGUUUUGGUGUAAUGUUUGAAAGUGGGAACCAACUGAAACUAGAAGGCUACUCUGACAGUGACUGGACAGGAUCCCUCGAUGACAUGAAGAGUACCUCAGGACACUUCUUUACACUUAGAUCGGGGAUGUUUUGCUGGAGUUCAAAAAAGUAGCAAACUGUUGCUCAGUUCACAGCUGAAGCAGAAUACAUUACUGCAGCAGGAGCAGUUAAUCAGGCCAUUUGGCUAAGGAAGCUGCUUCAUGACCUUAAUGAAACUCAAGAUGAAGCAACUGAAAUUUGGGUGGAUAAUCAGUCUGCAGUUGCAAUAGCCAAGAACCCUGUGUUCCAUGGUAAGACUAAGCAUUUUAAAAUCAAACUGCAUUUUGUUAGAGAGGCUGAACAAGCAAAGGAAGUCAGCCUUGUGCAUUGCAGCUCAGGGGCACAAUUGGCUGACAUAAUGACCAAGUCCUUGGGGGCUGCUCGAUUUGAAUCUUUGAGAAGUGCAAUUGGAAUGUGUUGCAUACAGUCCAAGGAGGAGUGUUGAAAGCUGGACUACAAUGCAACAUGGAGCCGGAAGCAUGCUACUAUCGAGACCAGCAGCUAUCGAGCUCAGCUCAUUUUGCUUGGUGUGCACGAAUGGUUUUCAGACCAAAUAAAGCAACUGAUAUUGCUGUUUUGUUUUGAUGUAACUUAGUUCAGUUUGAUUGUAACUAGCUUUAAUAGUUAGUUGGAUUAAGUUUGUGAUUGGAUUGAUGAUGUAAAAGCUGAUAUGUCAGCUUAUUUUGUAUUUGACUUAAGCUUGUAUUAGUUUAGUUUAAGUGGGAGUAGUUAUGUCAUUAGGUAUCUGUCAAAUGAACCAAAAUUUGUAGCUCUUUUAUAUAUUCAAAUCUUGAAUGAAAAAUGUAAUGUUCAGUUACAACUUUGCUGAGUAUUCAAUUUUGUUCAUUGCUUUGCUUUUUCUUUGCUUCGAUUCUUCUUGCUUCAGUCUUACAAAUACAGAUUUGUAACUUUGUUUGAUGUUUGCUGCUGCCAUUGUUCCAACAGAAUCCAUGGUGGAUUCUUUUACUUCCUUCAAAAGGGUAUCUGAUUCUUCCAAAAAUGGAUGUUGAAGCAAUUCUUUAGCUGUCCAUCUCUCUUUCAAAUCCCUCUUCAAACAUUUUCCCAGAAAAUCCUUUCCUUUCUCAGAAAACCAACUUGGAAUCUCAGGUACCUCGCCUGAAAAUCCAAUCUUAUACAGAGCCGACACUGGAUCAUUCAGCUCCGGCCAUGGCGAAUUCCCAGUGCUCAUCUCUAUAAUCGUACAUCCAAGCGCCCAUAUAUCAGCCUCAAAACCCUGCUCCUCCUCACGUGCCACCUCCGGUGCCAUGAAAGCUGGUGUACCGGAAAUUGCUGACGUGUCAAAACCUUGAUUUUCUCCAUCUUUUCCCAUUAAUUUAGCACACCCCAGAUCAGCAAUCUUCGCACCUUCUUUAUCGAUCAAAAUAUUUUGGCUCUUGAUAUCACAAUGUGCCACCCCAUUAAUGUGAAGAUAACUCAAACCUUGUAAAAUCUGUUGCGUAUACAACCUAACUCUCUCUUCACCCAAUCUUCCUCCAACUCUUUUGAUUUCCUCGGAAAGCGUACCGCCGGUGACGUACUCCAUGCAAAGGUUGUACGUCGGCUUGUUGUUCGUUUCAUUCGUACCAUCGUACCCUAUGUACUUAACAAUGUGAGGACAGCUUAAUUUUGACAAGACAUAAUUCUCUCUCUGCAAGAACAUAGAGUGACAUAACUCGGUUGACUUAACGGCAAAAAGCUCGCCGGAAGGGACUGCUGUGGCUAGAGACACGGUGGCGGUGGAUCCUCUGCCUAUGGCAGGCCCUCUGAUCCACUCCAUUAGAGCAAAAAAAGAAGCCACCAAGAAACAAAGAAAACAAAAAUAUGGGACUGGUGACUAAUGCUAUGACAUGUAAUGAUAUAUAUACAUAUGAAUAAAUAAAUGAACUUUGGGGUAACCCUUGGUUUUGGUGACUUAAUCCAAAUACCAAAGCAUAUGCAACAACUUAGGAAAGAUUCUUAAUGACAAAAAUCUGUCAUGGCUUUCUUUUGAGUACAUAGAGCAAGAAUGUAACACGUGGCGCGAAUUUAGUGAAUGCUGACCGCCUAUGGACGGCGCCAUGGCGGUUUCCUUAUGCUUGUAAUAAAGCCAUUCACAUGAAGACACAUGAGCACGUGCCGAGAUUGCGAGUUGUUAAUUACAAUUAUCCUAUUAUUGGCUAAUUUUAAUCUUUUUAAUCCAUUAACAUUGUGAUUUUUUGCGGCGCAAAGAUGAUUAAUCUUCAAUCUUAACAAUGUGAACACAAUUAAGUACUUUUUAGUUGUUUUUUUUUGUGUGUAGCUUAACUUACAAGCUGUAAACACACACACAUAUAUGUAUAUAUAUUGCUUAUAGUUGAUGGCAAAGGAUAAAAUAGAGGGAACCCAUUGUAUUUUACUAUGCUUUUCUUGGGGGGCUUAAUUGGAUAGGCGUGGAUGUGAAAGCAUGCAUGAAUCAUAUAUGUUUAGUAACUUAAGGAACUAUUCUAGAUCAUACUAAAAGAGUAGCUAUUAAUCAUUGUCCUAAAAUAUAUUUAAUUUAUAAAGUUUUUAGUUUGAUUAGUAUAAAAUCUCAUUCUUUUUAAAAUAAAAUUUUCAUCUUUUGACCUAUGAAAUUUUAUAAUUUUAUUUCGAGCAAUUUAAUAUCAAAUUUUUAAUAUUAUCUGAUUUCAGAAAUUGAUUUAAAUUUGGAUAAAUUAAAAUGGUUUAAGUAGGUAGAAGGACAAUUUGAAAAUAUCAAUAUUCUUUUUGCAAUGUGAAAACAACAAAAGCUUUUUUUUGGCAUAAAGGCUUAAAAGCAUGUUGUUGUUCCAGUGGCAAUCAAAAUUCAAGAGUUGGCCUAUUGAUUGGAGGAAUCAAAGCAAAAGUAAAUAAGGCCAACAAAAGAGGUUGCAACCAACAUCAAGAAAAAAAUUAAAUUAAAGUUAAAAAAGAGCACACACUGUUAUUUUCAUUUUCCAAAGUCUGCAAAGUUGUGUUGAAUAAGGUGUUUGGAAGAAAAGAAAAUUUAGGGGUUUUUAAUGGAACACUUGAGUGAGGUUCAAGCAAUUCCGAACUAUUUAUGAAAGUCAACUUUUCUCAUGAAAUGAUGAAAUCCCAUCUCUAAUCUGAACUCAAAACUUAAACCUUUUGUCACUUUUGGGUUUAGAAUAGUAGUGUAAGGCUCUUUCAUUGCAUCUUGUCGGUGCUGACAUCGUUUACUGACCUUUCAAGCUCACCCUUUACAGCUAGGUGAACACAUGAAUUUAUGAUCCAUUCUUUUACUUUGAUCUGAAUUUGGUAGAUACCAACAAUGCCAGUUCCACUCUUCUUCUCUUUUUUAAUCUGGCAAUCAAUUUAUUAGCACUUAAACGAGGAAUGAAGUUCGAGUUUCAUCGACAGUUUCAUUUAAAGAGUAAUUUAUUCGUAUCUCUUUCAACUUUCUAUAAAGUUAAUGGCAUAUCUUGAUCCUAAAUCAAGAUAGCCUCUUAUUACCAAAACUUUUCUUUAAAAGUAUCAUGGAAGCCCUUGUAUUAGAAGUCACAUUGUACAUUGCUUUCUCUACCCAAAAAAUAGAUAAAUUAGUCUCUAUAUAUUAGAUUAAAGAGCAAAUUGGUCAUCUUAAUUAAAAUUUUCAUUCAUUUAUAAUGUAAAAAACUGUAUAGCAAACAGAUAAUCAAAUAGUGACAAAUAGUAUGCCAUGUGUAUCUCAUGCUAAUACGUAAAAACUAAUUUUUAACAGUAAAAAUAGAUGAAAUUUUUAACAAAAGGAUUAAUCUAUUCUUUAAUCUAAUAUAUAAGGAUUAAUUUAUUUUUGUAAAAACAAUCCAUAAAAUAAAAAUACUUAUAAGUUUUACUUAGUUGCUUAAUGAUGAGGGAAAUUGGUUGUACAUUGAACAUUGUCCAUUGCCAAUUUAGUCUUAGCUGUACAAACUAACACCGAAGGAACCCAAAAUUUAAAAGACUACUGACAAUGAAUGUUGUUUUAAUAAUCAAAAACAGCUAUGACUAAUCAAUUUAUUUGUGUUUUGAUUGGGAGCUACCUUUUUUUCCCAGAUUGGCUGGCUGUAUAAAUUCCCAUUUACAUGAUGACAGUUGUAUUUAGACAUUGAGGACUCAAAUAAAAAUAAUGACAGCCUAAACCUUAUCUAACAUAUUUUUUGCUAAUCAUUGUUCCAAUCAAUGUUUUCGAUCGAAUCUAUAUAUUUCUCUGUUUGGAUAACUUUUAUCCUAUAAAAUGGAAACUCAGUUUAAUUCGAUUGUUUUGGACCCAAGUACAAGUGAAAAUCAAAAUGGCACAUCCACUCAUCCUUUUCAUCAUGCCAGCUAUCUAUUUUAGUAUACGUAGCUGGCUAAUAUUAUCCUAACAGUUAAAUCCCUGACUGCAAUAACUUCAAUUAAUCCCUUGUUUUCAUGCCAUCAUGCAUGCCUUAAAUUAGACAUUAAUGUCCUGCAAUGGUAAAGUAUAGAAUUAAUAGUAAAAUUAGAUAUGCAUGGAUCGAGUGAAACUCAUUCAAUUAAAUUUACUGAAGUUGACAAUUUGUAAGUUUGGAAGAUUAGCCAACUUGUUAUACAUUUUUAAUUGGGAUCUAAGUAUUUUUGAGUUGAGAUGUCUUGAGGCCAUCAAAGGUGAUAUGAAUGUCUAAGAUGAUCCAUGUUGGAACCGAAUGAAGUAGUAAAGUACAUUCGGAAGCUCAAGAUAGCAGCAUUUUUUGGAUGGGCUUAAAACAUAAACUUUUGACUUUGAAUGCACUUUUAAAUUUUUAAAGCUUUAACUUUACUUAUAUAAAAGUCCGACACUACAUUAGUAAGGGUUAUAUUUUAUAUAUUUAUUUAUUUCAAAUUUUAAGAGGUUUUAAAGUUGUUUUAGAGUGUUUCUUGCUCAUCAAGAAUGUUGAAUUCAAGAAGGAUACAUUCUUGAACAGCCAACUUUUAGAAUUCUAUGUUGAGUUAGGAGUUUGCUUUCUACUUUUUGAAUUUUUUUUAAAAGAAUUGAAUGAUUCGUUUGUGUUAUUUUUCAAAAGUUGUUUCAAAGAUUGUUAAUAGGAGUUGUUCGUACUUCAAAUUUUAAAAAUCUGAAGAAACCUUCUUCUCAAAUUUCCUUGGCCAAUUCUUUUAUUCAAAUUAUUAUAAUUAAUUCGUUGACGUAUAAGUCAAUUUCGAAAGUUCUACUUCAAGUCCAAUUCCAAUUCCAGCUUGAAUCAUCCUGGACAUACUAUAUCAAUUCCAACUUUUGUCAAUACCCUGCAGUAGAAAAAGUCUAGUUUGGUUCAUUUUUCUUUUUCUUCAGAAGCUUUUUAGUUUUCCCUUUCAUGUUUGUUUGAUGAGAACAUGGGAUACAAGAUACGAAACCAAAUCAAAAAUUGAAAAGAAAUCCAAUUACAUGUUAAUCUAAUCAUGAAUUUUCCCUUUAUUAUUUUAGAAUUAGACGCAAUGAAUUGAAAAGUAAAAUAUAUGCAAACAAAACUCACACAUGAUAUUUACAUAGUGAGGCUUGGACCUAAGAACUCAAGGUCCCAAAGCUAAGUCAGUGUCUAAUUGACAACAUAAUUUGAUCUUUUGCGUUUGUAAUAUUAUUAUUAGAUCUAAACUUAUAAGAUUGUUGCAUUAAAGUGAUUAUAUGGUUUUUUUUUUUAUUAAUCGGUCAUACAAUUAAAUCAUGUGAAAAUUCAACCAAUCAUGUUCAAUCAAUAAUAAAAUUAAAUAUCAACCAAAUGCUAACACUUGUUUUAAAGAAAAUAUAUUAUCACUUAAAUGGAAACAAUAGUAUUAUAUAUUUGGACCAAUGUAAAAGUAAAAGAAAGCAAAUUAUGCUAAAUUAAGAUGGAGAGACUAAAUUUCUAAUUCCAAUAUAGUAAAAAAAAAGUUGGUUACGGGUUAUUUUGCAAUAACGAAAAUAUUGUAUUUGUUUAGUGGAACGAGAUUUUAGAUACAGUGUUGUAGCGUUUAGUUGUUAUAAUUGAUGUUACUGCACAAUAGCUGGCAAUAGAAUUGUAAUUGUUUCCUAACCAACGUUCUUUAAUAAGAAUCAAUGCUAAAAAAGGAAAAUCAUUUAGAUUUUCUUUUGUUUCUCUCACGUUCUUUCUCAAUUCUAUAACUCUUUUUCACAAUGCCGCUCAUAUCAAUUUUGGUAUUAGAGCUGCGACUUGCCCAUGACUAUAGGAGAUGGUGUGUGGACAAGGCAUUUUUUUGAAGCUUUUCUAGGUAAACAUGAAACCAUAGCGACGGCUAUUAGUACUGUUAAAGGGAAGGGCAUUUUGGGUCCUCCUCCGAGUUCUAAUGAAUUGGAAGUAGUUAGAGAGACUUCUGAAGGGACAGAGAGUGGUGCGUCACCAAUGAUAGGGGAAUUGGCUAUAGUAAGUUGUGCAGACUCCAAUGACUAGUAUAAUCAGGCCUAUAACUUGAAGUGCCCUAAGUUUGAUGGUACUGAUUUUCGUUGAUAGUGGGCAAAAAUGGGGCAACUUUUUUAAGGUGAGCCAGUAUCUGUCUUGCAGGGAUGUGCCCUACCGUGGCAUCAUUUGAAUGAUAAUAACAAUGGUGGUAUAAAUUAGUUGAAUUGGAAAAGAUUACUUGAGGAAUUUGCAAGAGAGGUUUGCCCUAAUGGAUUUCGAGGAUUCAAUGGCAAGCUGGUAUCUUUAAAGCAGAAGAGCAAGUUAGUUGAGUAGUUUCAUAAGGAGUUUGUAAGUCUCUUUAACCAAAUUUCUUUAUCUUCUCAACAUGCUCUUAGCAUAUUUGUCGGUAACUUGAGGCUAGAUAUUGCCCAGUACCUUUAAGUCUAAGAAUUUGUUGGAGGCAUUGCAUAUGGCUAAGCAAUUGGAGGUAAUUCUUUAGCCGAGUCAAAGGAAAUCUUUUGCUUAACCCCAGUUUGCUAGAUCAAAUGCUAGUUUUCUUUCGAUUUCUUCUAAUAAGUCCUCACUUUUCUUUUUUUUCUUUUUUUUGGUCCUAGAACUGCUAACGCUCCUGAAGCAAUAACUAAAUCUGUUAACCAGUUUGUGUUACUAAGUGAUAGUAAACUUGGCAACAAACUCCCUUCCCAAGCUGAGAUUGAAUAUAGGAGGACAAGAGGCUUAUGGUGUUGGUGUGGGGCCAAGUAUGUUCCUAGUCAUAAAUUUACAAAGCCAUAGCUCAAGAAGCAUGUAAGAAAAGUACCGGUUCAAAUUUAAUGGAGCUGUCACUUAGGUGCUGGUUCGAAGGACAAACUCCUUCCUUGAAGACGCCACGUAACAACAAUUUCCUCAAUUUAAUCCUUGAGAACAAGGAUUUUGGGGGCGGGGGAGGGACACUUUGUUUAAGUUAUUUUGCAACAAUCGCAGUAUUGUAAUUCUUUCUUAGUUGUUCAGUGGAAUGUUGCAUUUGCAUCUAUUUUUCAAGUUUUUAUUAAGAAAAUGCAAUGCUGGCAUAAGGAUGAAGUUAAAAAUUGAACUUAAGUUCUCAAGUUUCAUAAAAUAAAAUAAAGAAGCAUUGACCAUAUCAUAUCUUGACUUGUAUGAUACAGUAACUAUACAAAUUCAAAUUAUGUUACCCUUGUUCUCUAUCGUAUAAAAAAUACAUUUUAUUAACUAAUAAAAUGCAUCAUUUUUUAAAAUCAAAUUUCACUUUGAACUAACGCCUAUGACCGCAGACAAUUAUAAGGAACAUUUGACCCAAUGAUCAAACAGACUUGAGAUUUACCUCCCGCGACAUACAUUUAAAACAAGAAGCAAUAACAAGCAAUAUCACGUUUUGAGAUUUAACCCCUCCCCUCAAAAAAAUUAAUGUCCGGCAUUCCUGGUUUUCAUAGCCCCCGAAAUCAUCUUUAGCUCUCUAACAAAUGCUAUUUAAACCAAUUGCAUCAUUAUGCUAUUAUAGGUAAAGAGAGGAACGGAUGCCGCGAAAUCCUUUCUUAGUCAAAAUGCCAUAAUACGAUACAAUCCGGAUUAAAUCACAGAUCAUGUUUUGCACAAGUAUUUACAUACAAUCAUCUUUGAUACUUAAUCCCAUAAGUUUAGGAGUGUACUACUUGAACAGCAUGGCACUCGGGUGUUCAGAUUUAGAAAAGAUUAGCUUAUGCAGCCUCAGCAAAUCCAAUUUGC
rnacentral:lncRNA from 1 species